CUCUCACGACUCCUCCUCUCUCCUCUCUCUCUCUCUCUCUCUCUCUCUCUCUCUCUCUCUCCAGUAGCUACGCGGCGGUGGCGGCGUCGGAGCUGACAGCGGCUCGCGGUCCCAAGCUUCGGCGGGAGAUGGAGUGGAGGAAGAUGGCGUCGUCGGCGACGCUGACCUUGGCUGUGGCUGCUGCUGCUCCACAGUCGCCGCCUUCGCCUCCGCCGCACAGUGAACCACCACCACCGCGACGCUGCUGUUCUGAGACGGAGGGAGCCGCGCACGCGGCAGUGUUGCUCCGCCACUACUGACUCGCCUGGAGAAGAAGACGCGCAUCUGGCUCGGCACCUUUUACUCAGCGCCGUUUUCCCCAAGUUGGAGGAUAUGUAGGAUUCAAAACCCUAGAUCCUACAUAUGGAGGUUCUUUCUUGUCGUGAUUUUCUACCAUCGAUCAUGUCAUCUAUUAAGCACAGUAGAUCUUUGAGGAAACUGUGCAUUGUCUUCGAUCUUCGAUUUCGACACUAUUGAAAGAAUUCUAUUAAGCACAUUGUCUUCGGCUUCUAUUGAAUUAUGAAAUCUUUGAGCCAACACUAUUGAAAGAUCAGCUACUGUUUUUUGUAAUUCACGUAUCUACAGUUGUUGAAUUUGGGGUUUGGAUAGUAGAAAGGCUGGGGAAGAAAGUCAAACGCUGGCUUGAUUUUGAUUUUCUCGGGGAAAUGACUUCAUCUUGAUUUCUUCGAAUAGAAAAAUUGAAGAUGAUGUGCUGCUCUUGUUUAUUUUAAUUUUAAUUGUGAAAUUAGAACAUUUUUAUUAAUGUUCUUAAAUUCACAACUUAAUGUUAUUAAAUUCACAACCAAAUCUAUAAAUUCACAAGUUAAUGUUCUUGAAUUCACGACUACGUCUAUGAAUUCACAACUUAAUAUUCUUGAAUUCACAACUAAAUCUAUGAAUUCACAAUUUAAUGUUCUUGAAUUCACGACCACAUUUAUGAAUUCACAACUUAAUGUUUUUAAAUUCACAACUAGAUUUAAGAAUUCACAACCAGGUCGAUGAAUUCACAACUUAAUGUUCUUGAAUUCACAACUAGCUCGAUGAAUUCACAACUUAAUAUUUUGAAUUUACAACCAAAUCUAUAAAUUCACAAUCAAAAUAAAUUACAGUUUUGAUUGUGAAUUCAAACUUUAAAAACUCAAAUUCACAACUACUUGAAUUCACAACCAAAAUAAAUUCUAGUUGUGAAUUAAAUUCAGGUUGUGAAUUUGGCUGAUUGUGAAUUCACAACCAACAUAAAUCUGGUUGUGAAUUAAAUUUUGGUUGUGAAUUAAAUUUUGGCUGUGAAUUCGAUUAGUUGUGAAUUUACAAAUAAAAAAUUCUGAUUGUGAAUUCAACUGGUUGUGAAUUGCGGGAUUUUUUAAAGGGGUGAUGUAAAGUGGACAUUUUUUUAAUUUUUAAUGUGAAAGGGUAUUUUGGUAACAAUGGUCAUUUUUUAAUAUUUUUUAUCUUAGUGGACAAUUUUUAAUUUUACAAUAUGAAAGUGACCAUUUUAAAAAUUCACUCUUUAUUAUAUGAUAUUAAAUUCAUAUUUAUUUUCUAAGUUUCAUAUUUGCAAAAUUAAUUUUAAUUCUGAUUGAGAAACUUGUUUGCCAAAUAUAUUAAGAGAAACAAAAAAAAAUUAAAACAAAUGUGACUAAAUCUUUUUACCCACACAUAAUAAAAUGUCUUAAACUAUUUAAAAUCGUAUACUGAGUUUACAUACACAUAUUCAAUUAUGUGUAGGUAUUUUGCCACACAUAAUUAUGUGUGACAAAUUAUGUGUGGCUAAAACUUCCACGUCAGCAUUAAAUAUAUUAAGAGUUAAACGAAAAAUAAAAAAUAAAAAAUUAAAUGUGACUAAAUAUUUUUACCUACACAUAAUUAAAUGUCAUUAACUAUUUAAAACUGUGUAAUGAAUUUACCUACACAUAUUUAAUUAUGUGUGGGUAUAUUGCCACACAUAAUUAUGUGUCACAAAUUAUGUGUGGCUAAAACCCUUAUAUCAUAAAUGACACUAUAUACUUGUUAUAACAAUAACACUAUAUAAUGAGUCAAUGUAUGAAAGUAGCCAUUUUCUUUUAGUAAACUUAAAAUUUAUCCACUCAAAUAAAACUUAAAAAAUUAUCCACUUUUUGUGUUAAAUUACUAAAACUUAAAAAAUUCACAACUUAAUGUUCUUGAAUACACGACCACAUCUACGAAUUCACAACUUAAUAUUCUUGAAUUCACAACCAGAUAUAUGGAUUCACAACUAAAAAUAGAAUUCACAAUCAGCUCGAUGAAUUCACAGCUGAAUCAUUAGUGUUGGUUGUGAAUUCGACUUUUAAAGCUCGAAUUCACAACUAGUUGUUUUGGUUGUGAAUUCAAACUUUAAAAUUCAAAUUUACGACUACUUGAAUUCACAACCAAAAUAAAUACUGGUUGUGAAUUCGAUUGGUUGUGAAAUGCACGAAUUUUUUAAAGGGUAGUGUUUAAAUUUUUAUAUGCAAGGGUAAAAUGGUAAGUGUGGAUUUUUUUUUUAAGUUUAUAUUUUAGUGGGUAAUUUUUAAGUUUACUAAAAGAAAUAGGCUAUUUUAAAAAUCCACUCUUAUAUAAUUCUACAAAUGACACUAUUAUCUUAUAUAAAUAACACCAACACUAUUCUAUUUUAUAAAUAACACUAUAUAAAUGACACUAUCAUGUUAUAAAAAUAACAUUAUAUUAUUCUACAAAUGACACUAUUAUAAAUGAUAUAAUUGUUAUAAAAAUAACACUAUUAACUUGUAAAAAUGACACUAUCAUACUCCCUCUGUCCCAAUAUUGUUGGCCACAUUUCCUUUUUAGUUUGUCCCACUAUUGUUGGCCACUUUCCUAAAAUGGAAAUAUUUAUCACAUUCAAUCUCUUACUUUAUCACAUUAUCUCUCCUACUUUAUCACUUUAUUACAUUCUCUCUCCUACUUUAUCAUUUUAUUACAUUAUCUCUCAUACUUUAUCACAUUCUCUCUCCUACUUUAUUACUUUUAUACUAUAUUACUCAUACACUUAAAAUACUAAUCUACAACUCCUUAAUUCCCGUGCCGAAACCAAAUGUGGCCAACAAUAUUGGGACGGAGGGAGUAUUAUUUAAAUAAUACUAUCAUGUUAUUAUAUAAACAACACUACCAUUAUAUAGUUCUAUAAACAACACUUAUUUAAAACUUCUCGCGCUUGAUUCUUUCAGCUCGAAAUCAAUCGUGUGUAUAAUUAAAGAUGGGACUGAACUUAGAAAUCAAGAAACAUAUUUGAUCAUUCCUUCACGUGUGUCACCUGCCCCUAAAUCAUGCCUAAUCAUUGCCAUNUUUUUUUUCCUUUUUCUUUUAUUCCUCAAUCAUGUUUUCUCUUGCUUCUAUUCUUCCGCACACAUUCUCAAUUCAAAUUUGAAGGCGCAGAAGGUGUUUGACAAAAUUCUUCAACUAGAAAACCAGACAAAAACAAACUACUGAAAUCGUCCAUGGCUUCUUCCAUAGAUAACGUAAAAAAAGCAGUAAAAAAAUAUUCACAAGGUAUACCAUUCCCACCUCUCCAUUCUUCACUAUCUUUAAGUAAUAGCUUCAUCUGCACUGUGAUUCCUGCCCAGCCUCUUCUUGGACAAGUCGUAGCCAUAGCCGCCGAGCAAAGGGAUAGUCGAGAAUUUCAUGGGAGAUUUCUUCUUAAUCUGCCCAAAUAGCUUCUUCCAUUGCAGAGUUCCAUAACCGAGCUCCCAUGCAAGCCCUCUUUCCGCCGCACCCGAUUUCUCCCCCUCGAAACUGCUGUCCGAAUAUGCACCGGAUAAAGGUAUCUCCAAUGCACCCUUCGGAGAUGAACCUUCUUCUUCUCCAACACACCCCUCGGAGGGAUUUCAAAAAUUGGGAUUUGUUUUAGUUAUGUGAAAUCGAGAGAUGGGAGGAAAGAGGGAGAGAUGGAGCCAUGACAGCGACGCCGCUGUUGCUGCGGUCGUUGUCUCCGGCGAGUGAUGGCAGGCGGCGUUAGAGAGAGAGAUAGAGAGAGAAAGGUGUCAGUGAGGGGAUAAGCCGUGGUUGAUCAUUUAAUUUUUUUUUUUUUAAUGAAAAUAGGUCAGGGUAUGAAAAUAUGGGUCAGGAUCUGAAGGGUACGAUCCGGGUUUACAGUACAUCCAAGUGUGUACACACGAUUUUGUAUUAAUAAAAAUGGUUAAAUAUUGUCCCCUUGGGAUGACCUAGUGGAUGGGGUGGUUGCCUGUUGUCCAAGAGGUCACAGAUUCGAGUACUCUCGGCCACUAUUACCACCAUAGGUGGGGUGUGUGAGUGGUUUGUAUUAUUUAUUUAGAAAUUUCAUCAAAAAAAAAAAAAAAUGGUUAAGUAUUGUGAUUGGAGAAAAUAUUUCACAUGAAAGGUAGUGUUAAUAAGGAGUGAAGAAAAUGUCUCCCAUGUGGUAGAAUAUGUAAAUAAGUUACUCCCUCCGUCCCACGAAUCUUGACACGUUUGAUUUCGGCACGAGAAUUAAAUUCAAUAUGUAUUAAUCAUGAGAACCUUAAUUAACAUACAUGUAAAAAAGAGUCUAUGGAUGAUAAGAAUAGUUUCAACUACAUUAUUUUCUAGGGUAAGGUGCAGAUCCACCCCUGAAGUAGAGACCCCUAUAGCGUUUACCCCCUCAUUCUCGAUCUUGGCGCAAACACCCCCCCCAUAGUCCAGAAAAUGGUACAAUUAAACCCAGACCUCUAACCGUUAAGUCCGUUAAACUUUGGUUUAAUUGCACCCUCUACUUCAGGGGUGGAUCUCACCUUAACUCUCUUUUUUUUUCUUUUCUUUUUUCAAUUUCGCAACCCACUCCGGUAUCAGCUUAGCGCCCCGUACUUAUCGACUCCGACUUGCACCUUGAUCAGUCCACGUGCCCAAUCUCUUGGUCGUUGACAUGCGGCAGCGCAAGAGGUCCAGGACCGAAUAUGGACCGAAUCCUACUUGGUUCAAUCCAGAUCGUAUUUUUUUACUUAGGUCCGAUUCGAUCGAUUUAUUGGAUUAAAAAAAAUGAGAUCCAGGUCCAGAUCCAUAAGAUCCACAGGGUUUGAGUCCUGCCCGAUCCAUUAUUUUUUCUCUUUAAAAUAAAUUUAUAAUAUUAAUUAACCAAAAUAAAAUCAUAAUUAUCGUUUAGAGUUUUACCAAUUAUCAAAAAUAAAUAAUUAAACCAUAAUCUAUAAAAGAAAUAUUAUAAAAAUUACAAAAUAAGUAAACAUAUAAUAAUCAAGCACUAAAUAAGUUAAGGUAUUGGAGGAGAUGCUACUGUGCGGGGCGGUGAAGAAGUUGGUGGCGCUGCUGCAUGUGGGCGGUGGACAGUCGACAACCAAGAGAUUGGGCGCGUGUGAGCUGACAAGGUGCAAGUCGGAUCCGAUGAGUACAAGGGCGGCUAAGCUGAUGCCGGAGGUGGAUUGCCGAAAUUUAAAAUAGAGAAAAAAGAAAAAGGGGGGGGGUGUUUGCGCCAAGGUCGAGAAUGGGGAGCUAAACGCUAUAGGGGCCUCUACUUUAGGGGUGGAUUUGCACCUUAACCCUUUAAGAAAAUUGUUAAAGUAGGUGUAAGUAGAGAGAGAAGUAAAUUUAUAGGGGUAGUGGUAAUAAGAAUUUUAAUUGCUUAAUCCUCUAUUAAUGGGUAAAGAAAUUCUGCAGAUUCCAAACAAAUUUAAAGUAGUAUUGAGCAAACAAUUUCAACGCAAACAAAAUUUUUAACAACAAAUUCAAACAAAUUCGAUUCAAGCAAGAAAUGAAUUUCAGCAACAAAUUCAAACAAGUUCAACAAAUCGAUUCCACUAACAAGUUUAGAAAAUUCCUAACAACAAAUUUCAGCAACAAAUUGAUUCCACUAACAAAUUUAAGAAAUCCUAGCAACAAAUUCAACAAAAAGAUUCCACCAACAUAUUUAGGAAAUUCCAGCAACAAAUUCAACCAUAGUUGUCGUCUGUUCGGACAGCGGGGGAGUCAAAGCUGGGGGCAGGCAGCCAUGGUUGCCGGAAUUUCUGAGACAACUAGCAAGGAAUUUUUUAGGGAGGUGGCAAUUUUGGGGAAGCGGCGAUUGAGGUUUUUAGGCUCAGAGGGAGGCGGCGAUUUGGGGUUUUGUCGUUGUUACCUGAGAACGACAACAACGGCAGCGGGUCCUCCUACGACUGCUGAUUGUUGCGUCGGAGAAAGGGCGGUCGGUUGUGGUGCUUUUCACCGGGGAAGAGAGGAGGGCCGCGCGGUGCAUGGGGCACCUCACCUUGAAAAAGGAGGCGACGAUUUGAGGGAGGAGACGCCUUAGGGUUUCGGACUCACAGGGAGGCAGCAAUUUGAAAGAGGCGACACCUUAGGGUUUCGGGCUCACAUGAAGGCGGCGAUUUGGGGUGUUGGCUCAGGGGGAGGUGGUGAUUUGUGGGAGGCGGGAGGCGGCGAUUUGAGGGACGCUUGCUUUGAAGGAGGCGGCGCCUUAAAGUGAAGAAAAAGAAGGAGUAAGGCGGCGAGAUCAGAGGUUGAGCUUUCAGACGAAGAAGAAGAAGAAGGUUGAGGCGUUGCUCCAGAUUUAGAAAAUAAGGUUUGAAUUGAGAAUUGAUAUUGAACGAGUGAAUAUUAGAAGUAAUCUUUAGGGGUUUUUUUAUUGCUAAUUAUGUUUGAUUAAGUUUAAGUGGAGAUAAUUUUAAUUAGUGAGGCGAGUCCUCCAAUGGCAAAUAAAGUAAAUACAUAAAGUCAUAAAGCGUAUAAUUGUAUAAAAAGUGAAACAAGACACUUUUUUGUGGAAAAAAAUGGGGAAUCAAGACUCUUUUUCGUGGACGGAUGGAGUAUAAAAGUGAUAAAGUAAGAGAGAUAAGAUAAUAAAAGUGAUAAAGUAGGAGGGAGAAACUAAUAAAAGUGAUAAAGUAGGAAAGAGAAGGUAAUAAUUAUUACCUUAUUUGGAAAUGUGUCAAAAUUCGUGGGACGGCCCAAAAAGGAAAACGUGUCAAGAUUCGUGGGACGGGGGGAGUAAUAUAUAAAGGAUAAUAUAUUGUGGAAUAGUGUCCAUAAAUAGAAAAUGAUUAUUUUUUGUGGACAACCCAAAAUGAAAAUUAGGACUAUUUUAGGGAGUACUUCCUUCGUCCUAAAAAAAUAGUCAUAGAAGAGGACGAUACGAAUUUUAAUAAAAAUGAUUAGAUGUAUUGUGAGUGGAAAAAGAGUAAUCCCAUUUAAAGGUAAUGUUAUAAUGAUCGAUUAAUUAGUUGUAUUAUAUGUGAAUACUUUGCUUGGUGGUGGUCGACCUCCUCCUCGAUUUUGGAGGUGUCGACAACUGGGUUUUGAGGUGAUCAUCAGUGUCUUUGUCAGCUCUUCGGUGCGCUAGGAGCUUGGCUUCGAUGGGACGGGCUUCGUCGGAUUUGCUCUUUCUUGCAUCAAUUUCUGGAGGGGCUGAUUUCUUGGGAUUGUAAUUCUUUUCUUUCCCCAUUUUUAUAUAAGACGAUCCACUUUUUUUUAUUUUUCCUCUAUUUUUCUUUUGGGUGGGAGGGUGGUUUUUGGUUUUUGGUUUAUUUUUCCUCUAUUUUUCUUUUGGGUGUUCGAGCUUAGUAUGAGGGUGACGAGCCGAGCUCGAUCAUCAAGAUAAAAGAUCGAAUCGAGCUCGAGCCGAGCUCGAACACCCGAAUAUUUAAACGAGCCGAGCUCGAGCCUGCUUGUAUUCGACUCGGCUCGGCUCGUUUACAGCCCUACUCAGGACCAUAAAUCCAUCCAACAGGAUUACGAAUCAACCGUAGAUCUUGAUGAUCUAAGGGCUGAAAAUGAUUCUUAUUUUAUAUCUUAAAAUGCUCUUAUUUUAGCCCUUCCCGUAUAUAUGGGAAAGUUCAAUGGAGACCACUCCCCUAGAUAGAGAAUGAAGACCAAAUCAUGUGCGUCGAUUCUAGAAUAUCCAACGGUCUUGAUUUGGCUGAAAAUUUUUAUAAUUUUCGUUUGUUUUAUUGCAUGAAGGUUAAGUUGGUCAUUUGAAUUUCUACAUAUCCGUUUUUAGCUCUAAUUACAUAUAAUCAAAUCUUUUAUUUAUGGAUAAUUAUUUUGAAGAUACGUUUGUUACAAAAAAAACAUGCAUUCACAUAAUAUUGUUUCUCGCCUCCUCUCCAAUCCCUCCUCCUCCUCCUGCUGUUCCGCCGCGUCCCCUCCAUCCCCCCUUCCUCGCCUCCUCCCCAAUCUCCGCCGGCUCCAGCGGAGGGUUCUCGAGGCUGUGUGCCCCGGGUCGUCAGGGAGAGGCCGACGAAGAGACAUGGUGAAGAGGGAGUUCACGUUCACCAGGCCGUAGGGCGGCACGUGGACGCUCGUGGUGGCGACCGCCGCGCCGCCCCGGAUUGCAAUCUGCAUAUCGACAAUGUUGUGUUCGUAGAAAAUAUUAAUGAACAUACUAAUGUUCGUCGUUAUGUUCGUAGAAAAACAAAUGAAAUACUAAUGUUCGUCGAUAUGUUCGUAGGAAAAAAAUGAGCAUACUAAUGUUCACCUAUUAUGUUCAUCGACGGAUCAUGUCCCAGAAUAGGAAGAGAGAAAUUUUUGAAAUUUGUUCAACGGAUCCCAGAAUCGUGGAUUUGAGUGGACAUAUUUUCCUUUUUGAAUUAAAUAAAUGUAAUUAACCAAUAUUUAAUUACAUGAAAAAUCAAAUCAUGAAAUUAUAAGAACCGUUGAUUGGAGUGAGAUGAACGACCUUGAUUUGGUCUUUAUUCUCUAUCUUGGGGAGUGGUUGUCAUAGAAUGCAACCAUAUAUAUAUAUUCGAGUAUAUUUAACCUUCACUCAGCCUAUGCCACGUCAGCAAGAAACGGUUAUGCAAUCUGUUAAAGGAGCAGUUAGCUUGGCGAAGAGAAGUUAGUUAAAUUGUUAUUAUGCAGUUUUUCAGCUGCAUUACAUGUAUAAAUAUAGUAGUGAAUUAUAUCUUGUAAAUUAGUUCUUUAAUAAUCAUCAAUGAAGAUAUUUUCUACGCAAUUCUUUCUUUAUUCUCUCUCAAACCUCAGCUGAGAUUAUCUCAACAUGGUAUCGAGCUUGAGUGAUUUUUGAGGAGAUAGAUCUGUAUCUUUCUCAUCAAGUUUAUUUUUUCUAGAUCCAGACCUUUCACGGAGUCUGCUACAUCAUCCUCUGCGCAAUUCAGUCUACCAAAUAUCCAUCCCAUGGUAUUGCGACUCGAUCGAAACAAUUACACCUUCUGGAGAAUUCAAAUUCUCACCACUAUACGAGCCCAUGGAUUUGAUGAAUUCAUUUCAUCAAACACUGUUUCUCCAUCUCCUUUUCUGCCUUCAUCUUCCUCUAUUGCGAUUCGUGAGCCGAAUCCGGAGUAUCAACAGUGGAUCCGCAAGGAUCACUUCAUUAUAAGCUGGAUCCUAGCAUCGAUCGGCAAAACAAUGCUAGAUCACGUGGUUCGAUGUCAAUCCGUGAAGGACAUCUGGAAUGUUCUCGAGUAACUAUUUCACUCUCAAUCUCGAGCUAGAGUGCUACAAUUGAAGAAGAUGCUUCACACUCAAAAGAAAGGAUCUCUCUCCGUCGAUGACUACUUUCUCACAAUGAGAGGAUAUGUUGAUCAAUUAAAUGCAGCAGGAUGCUACAUUACUGAUGAUGAGCUCGGCGAUUCGAUCUAAAACCCCCUACAUUCACAUGAAAUUCGUCUGCAACAACACUCUUAUGCCAUCACAGAUCUGAUGGUUCACUAUGCUCAAAGAGGAGGCCGCGGUGCUCGUGGAAGAGGCAACUCUCGAGCCUCUGGCAAAUCACAGAUCAUAUGUCAAUUGUGCAGGGUGCAGCAAGCCAGGCCAUGUCGCUUUGAAGUGUUUUAAGCGUUUUCAUGUUCAUUUUACUGGUCCUGAUAAUGCAUCUAACCAUAAAGCAUAUCUUGUUGAUUCUCAGCAGUUUUCUGACUAUGAUUAGGAUGAGGAGGACAACUCUUAGUAUGUGGAUAGUGGUGAAACCAAUCACAUCACAAAUAACUUGAGUAAUAUGCAGAUUCAAGCCUCCUACAUUGGUUCAGAGAGUCUUACAGUGGGUAAUGGUAAGUCCAUUCCAAUUACUUCAGUUGGUACCUCCCUUAUUCCUUCAUCACCCACUCAUUCUUUUCUCCUAAAUCAGAUCCUAUUUGUUCCUCAAAUAACAAAAAAUUUGAUAUUCAUAUCUCAAUUUACUAAGGAUAACAAUGUUAUCUUUGAGUUUCACAGUUCUUGUUGUCUUGUGAAUGACAAGAAAACACACCAAGUCCUACUGAAAGGGAAUCUGCACAAGGGGCUCUACAAGCUUGAUCUUUCACAACUCUGCCUCCGGUUUGCUUCCUCACCUAUUACUGUUGUUUCAUCAUCUUCCACAUUGAGUACUCCUGAUUGCUAUCAUGUAUCUACUAUUGCUUCAUGCUCUACUAUACAGCCUAGUACUACAUCUCCCUCCUGUACACCUGCUCCUACUUGUAAAAUUUCAGAUUCUCUUGGCAAUAAAAUGAAUAUUUGGCAUCAACGUUUGGGGCAUCCUAAUUUUGCUGUUCUGUCUCAUGUUCUUAAAUUUCAACAUGUAUCUGCAAAUGAAUCAUCUAUUAGUUUGUGCAAUGCUUGUAGUAUAGGUAAGCUCCACCGUCCAACCUCUCAAAACCACCAAGCCUUUUCAGUUAAUACAUUAAGAUCUCUGGGGUCCUGCUCAUACUUCUACUCUACAAGGUUAUAGAUAUUAUAUACACUUUGUUGAUGAUUUUAGUAGGUAUACUUGGAUCUAUCAUGUUAAACUAAAGUCUGACACUUAUAACAUAGUUAAGCAGUUUUUUGCUAUGGUUUAAACCCAAUUCUCUACCACUAUAAAAGCCCUCCAAAAUGACUGGGGUGGGGAGUAUAAAAAGCUUACUUCAUUUCUUAAAAACUUGGGAGUUCAUCAUUAGCACUCUUGCCCUCACAUUCACUCCCAAAAUGGAAAGGCCGAGAGAAAACAUCAACAAAUAGUCGAUGUAGGGCUUACCCUAUUAAACAAAGCCUCCAUUCCACUUGAAUACUGGUGGUAUGCAUUCUCUACAGCUACAUAUCUCAUAAAUCGUCUGCCUUCACCCUCCAUCCAAAUGAACUCUCCCUACUUAGCUCUAUUUGGAAAAUUACCUGAUUAUUCCUCUAUUCAUGUUUUUGGGUGUGCUUGUUUUCCAUAUCUUAAACCAUAUAAUACCCACAAACUUGAAUUUCGAUUAAGAAAAUGUAUCUUUGUAGGCUAUAGCCCCAACCAUAAAGGCUACAAAUGUUUAGACUCUAAUGGUAGGCUUUUCAUUGCUGAUACUGUAAAAUUUAAUGAACAUGAGUUUCCAUUUACAGAAAUGUACCCUACUUCUCAAGAAGGCUCUCACUACAUCACCUUACCUACUAUUUCUCCUACUCUCCUACCUAAUACUCCCAUACCAUCACCACAUCCUACUCCUGCUGCUUCACCGGUAGUCCACACCUCUCCUGUCCAACAAAAUUCUCCACUAAAUCCUACAGCAGCUUCUUCUAACACUCCACCGCCAUUUCCACUACACCAUCAUUUCCCUACUCCAUCUGCCUUCUCACAUUCAUCAUCUACUUCCACACCUAACACAUCUACCUCUUUCUCUGAGUCUCCACCACUUGCCCCUCCCCCCUUAACACUCAUGGUAUGCUUACACGAUCUAAACUAGGAAUCUUUAAACCUAUGGUAUACAUAGCUCUUCUCGAUCAUCCACCAUUUUCUAUUCCUCAAUCUUCCAUUCCAAACUUACCUAACACACUGGAAGAAGCUCUGUCCCACCAAGGGUGGUUUGCUGCUAUGGAAAAAGAGUUCAAUGCUCAGCUUAGAAAAGGUACGUGGAGUCUCAUACCCCCUGAUCUAAAUCAAAAGGUCAUAAGUAACAAAUGGAUCUUUCGGGUCAAGCUUAAUCCAGACUAUACGUUGGAUAAACUCAAGGCUCGCUUGGUUGCUCGUUGGUUUGAGCAAUUGGCCGGUGUGGAUUUUGUGGAGACUUUCAGUUCGGUGGUAAAGCCUUCUACCAUUAGGCUUGUUUUCUCUCUUGCUGCUAUAAAGGGGUGGGCUGUAAGGCAAAUUGAUGUGAAUAAUAUAUUUUUAAACGAUAAUUUAACUGACACUAUAUACAUGGCCCAACCUGCAGGAUUUGAAGAUAAGGAUCAUCCUUCUUAUGUGUGCAAAUUGGAAAAGGCCUUAUAUGGAUUGAAGCAGCCACCUCGCGCCUGGUAUGAUGAACUGAGGAAAGAGAUUUAUCAGUUGGGAUUUCAGUGAUCAGAAUCAGACUUCUCCCUUUUUAUCAUAAAUAAAGUUACUCUCUUACUCUCAUCCUUGUUUAUGUAGAUGAUAUACUAAUCACCGGCGAUGAUCCAUCGAUUGUUCAGUCAGUGGUUGAUACUUUGCAUGAGAAAUUUUUCGCCAAGGAUAUGGUUCUUGUUCAUUAUUUCUUGGGUAUCGAAGUACAUCACAAUGCAAGCACCUUCACUUUAUGUCAGCAUAAAUACAUUAAUGAGCUUUUGGUUAAAACCAAAAUGCUUGCUUGCAAGCCUUGCCGAACACCCAUGACUCCUGCCACCAAGCUUUCAAAAUCUGAUGGGGUCCCCUUUGAUGACCCUACCCUUUACAGAAGUACUAUCGGUGCUUUGCAAUAUUUGACACUAACAAGGCCGGACNAGGGUGAUUCUAUUCAUAGCCCCCAUUUUACUCUUUAUAGCCUUUUAUUUAAUAAAUAUUAAAUUAUUAAUAUAUGUACUAUUUUAUCCUUAUAGCCCCUAAUUUAAUCUGCAUAUAAAUUCAUGAUCAUAAGCUGAAUUCAUGAUUGCUAUCAUGUAUCUACUAUUGCUUCAUGCUCUACUUUACAGCCUAGUACUACAUCUUCCUCCUGUACACCUGCUCCUACUUGUAAAAUUUUAGAUUCUCAUGGCAAUAAAAUGAAUAUUUGGCAUCAACUUUUGGGGCAUCCUAAUUUUGUUGUUCUUUCUCAUGUUCUUAAAUUACAACAUGUAUCUGCAAAUGAAUCCUCAAUUAGUUUGUGCAAUGCUUGUAGUAUAGGUAAGCUCCAUCAAUGACCCCAUGUUACCCAACCUCUCAAAACCACCAAGCCUUUCAAGUUAAUACAUUCAGAUCUCUGGGGCCCUGCUCAUACCUCUACUCCACAAGGUUAUAGAUAUUAUAUACACUUUGUUGAUGAUUUUAGUAGGUAUACUUGGAUCUAUCCUGUUAAACUAAAGUCUGACACUUAUAACAUAGUAAAGCAGUUUUUUGCUAUGGUUUAAACCCAAUUCUCUACCACUAUAAAAGCCCUCCAAACUGACUGGGGUGGGGAGUAUAGAAAGCUUACUUCAUUUCUUAAAGACUUGGGAGUUCGUCAUUAGCACUCUUGGACAUUCACUCCCAAAAUGGAAAGGCCGAGAGAAAACAUCAACAAAUAGUCGAUGUAGGGCUUACCCUAUUAAACAAAGCCUUCAUUCCACUCGAAUACUGGUGGUAUGCAUUCUCUACAGCUACAUAUCUCAUAAAUCGUCUGCCUUCACCCUCCAUCCAAAUGAACUCUCCCUACUUAGCUCUAUUUGGAAAAUUACCUGAUUAUUCCUCUAUUCAUGUUUUUUGGUGUGCUUGUUUUCCAUAUCUUAAACCAUAUAAUACCCACAAACUUGAAUUUCGAUCAAGAAAAUGUAUCUUUGUAGGCUAUAGCCCUAACCAUAAAGGCUACAAAUGUUUAGACUCUAAUGGUAGGCUUUUCAUUGCUGAUACUGUAAAAUUUAAUGAACAUGAGUUUCCAUUUACAGAAUGUACCCUACUUCUGAAGAAGGCUCUCACUACAUCACCUUACCUACUAUUCCUCAUACUCUCCUACCUAAUACUCCCAUACCAUCACCACAUCCUACUCCUGCUGCUUCACCAGUAGUCCACACCUCUCAUGUCCAACAAAACUCUCCACUAAAUCCUACAGCAGCUUCUUCUAACACUCCACCGCCAUCUCCACUACACCAUCAUUUCCCUACUCCAUCUGCCUUCUCACAUUCCUCAUCUACUUCCACACCUAACACACUACCUCUUCUCUGAGUCUCCACCACUGCCCCCCUCCCCCCCCCCCUUAACACUCAUGGUAUGCUUACACGAUCUAAACUAGGAAUCUUUAAACUUAUGGUAUACAUAGCUCUUCUCGAUCAUCCACGAUUUUCUAUUCCUCAAUCUUCCAUUCCAAACUUACCUAACACACUGGAAGAAGCUCUGUCCCACCAAGGUGGUUUGCUGCUAUGGAAAAAGAGUUCAAUGCUCAGCUUAGAAAAUGUACGUGGGGUCUCAUACCCCCUGAUCCAAAUCAGAAGGUCAUAAGUAACAAAUGAAACCACCUUCACUCUAUGUCACAAUAAAUACAUUAAUGAGCUUUUGGUUAAAACCAAAAUGCUUGAUUGCAAGCCUUGCCGAACACCUGUAAUUCCUGCCACCAAGCUUUCAAAAUCUGAUGGGGUCCCAUUUGAUGACCCCACCCUCUACAGAAGUACUAUCGGUGCUUUGCAAUAUUUGACACUAACAAGGCCGGACAUUGCCUUCAGUGUAAACAAACUGAGUCAGUUUCUCACCUCUCCCUCUCUUGUUCACUGGAAUGCUUGCAAACAUCUGCUGCGUUAUCUAAAAGGAACAGCUCAUCUCAAGCUUCAAUUUCAGCCUUCUUCUUCAUCCAUGAUUGAAUGAUAUUCUGAUGCGGAUUGGGCAAGCUGCUCUGAUGACCGACGAUCCACAAGGGGUCAUUGCAUUUUCUUGGGAUCAAAUCUCGUCACAUGGUCCGCCAAGAAGCAGGAGGUUGUGUCUCGUAGCAAUCCAGAAUCAGAAUAUCGAAGUAUGGCGAAUGCCACAACAGAUAUUGUGUGGUUAAAGAGUCUAUGUGUUGAGCUUAGUCUUUCUCUUCAUUCCCCACAUUGUCUUUGGUGUGACAACGCUAGUGCACUUGCAUUAGCUAAUAACCCUGUGUUUCAUGCGAGGACUAAACACAUAGAAGUCGACGUCCAUUAUAUACAGCAAAAGAUUGCUGAUAACACAAUUGAAGUAGGUCAUGUUCCUUCAUCUGACCAGAUUGCCGAUGUGUUUACUAAACCCUUGGCUGAGACCAGAUUUUGUCUUCUUCGUGAUCGUUUAAAUCUUGUUGGUGGUGAUAGUGGCUAGGAUUUUUGGGGGCGUAUUCGAGUAUAUUUAACCUUCACUCAGCCUAUGCCACGUCAGCAAGAAACGGUUAUGCAAUCUGUUAAAGGAGCAGUUAGCUAGGCGAAGAGAAGUCAGUUAAAUUGUUAUUAUGCAAUUUUUCAGCUGCAUUACAUGUAUAAAUAUAAUAGUGAAUUAUAUCUUGUAAAUCAGUUUUUUAAUGAUCAUUAAUGAAUAUAUUUUCUACGCAAUUCUUUCCUUAUUUUCUCUCAAACCUCAGCUGAGAUUAUCUCAACAAUAAAUAAAAAGGAAUAUUUUUUUAUAUGAAAAUACUAAGAUAAGAAAAAUGAACUAUAUAUUUUCAAGGAAAAUACGAAAGUAGAAGUUUUCAUCAAUCACUAUUUCUUUCACCAUAAUGACAUUUUGUACCCAUUUAUUAUUUUGUAUAUAUAGACUAAUUUGACUGUUAUAUUUUGUAGCAUCUGCAUGCUCACUUGAUUUCUCGAGGCGACCUGGUAUUCCAUUACUGUAUUUUUUUUCUUCAUUUAAAAUUUAAAUUGGAGUAUUUUAAUUAAUUCGUUCCAAAGAUAGCAAAAGUUGAGAAAAUAAAAUUCGCAUUAAAGAAAUGUUGUUGAUGGAUUCAAACGUCACAUAUUCAUCACAAAAUGUAAAUAUCCAAUCAACCACUAGAUACAGGGGGAACAAAACAAAAGGCAAAAACUAAUGAGUUUAAUUAUUGUUAAUAUGGUUAAUUUUUUAAAAUAGUGCUAAAAACUAUUUUUAGUUUUAGGUGUAAAGGAUUUUGUAGGUUUUUCUUUUCUUUUCUUCAAUACUAUCACAAUUGAUUUUUUUUUUACGAGUGAACAAAUCAUUUUAAAAAUUUAUAUGACAGUAGACUCAAAUCUGAAACCUUUAACCUCAUGCGUUAAUUAUUCUAUCACAUGAUCAAAAUAAAAAUUAAUCGUUGUGAUUGUUUUCCGAAAAUUGAUACUGUAAUUGGUUGUUAAAAUGGCUCAUGGUGUGUAAAGGAUUUUGAAAUGUUCCUUUUUUUUUCAAUAAUAUUGUAAUUGAUUGUUUUUUGUGAAUGAAUAAAUGAUUUUAAAAAUCUUACAAUAGUAAAAUCAAAUUUAAAAUAUUUUACCUCAAAUAUUAAUCAUUCUACCAUUAGAUCAAUACUGAAAACAAUCUUCGUGUUUAAUCACAAAAAUCAAUCUUUGAUAAAAAGAAAAAAAAAAUAGUUGAUACCGUAAUUGGCCCAAUUAAAUAAAAAAAUAUGUUUAAACUAAAAGGCAAUAAUAUAACAGUUGUUUCUUUAAUAAAAACAGGUAGGGUUACAGAGAAGAUGGAGGAAUUGUAGCCAAAGCUUACCUUGAAGUGGCAGAGCACUGGAUUGAGGUCUCUGCUCUCCCAAAGUUUCUAAGUGUGGAAAGGAGGAGAGUGGCGAAUUGGAGUUGAAGUGUGAGGCUAAAGGAGGAGCUGUUGCUACACACUUGAGUGUGCUAGUAUAAGCUGCAGAGAUAGGGUGACUGAUGUAUGAGUUAGAUGGGAUGGGUAGGGGUGGCUGAAUGACUCCUGCUGUACUUGGCAACAGAGGAUAAGGGUGGAAAGAGGCUGCCCUCUUGCAGCUCACGCUUCCCACUUCCCUUUUUCUCUUUCUUGUGUACUUGCUAGAUUAUGGUGUUAGGAAAUAUGAAUGAAAGUUGAUUGUGAGAAAAAGGUUGCAAAGUUUGAGAAUGAGAUUGUGGUGAAUAAAUGAAGUAUAUUCUUAUGUCUCGGUGAUUCUGUACUUGUAUAUGAAUCGCGUGCUCGUAUCUGCUUGAUACUGUCUAUUUAAUAAAUCUCGUAUUUCGACAUAUGAUUUCCUGCCUCGCCAGGAUCGAUAGAUUGUAAAAUGAAUCUAAAUUAAAUCCGUAGAUUUAAUUCAUUCGUCGCUCUGCUCUCUAAAUUAAAUCCGCAGAUUUAAUUAACUUCACGAGUCAGAAAUAAUUCACGACUUAAGUAAUUAUAUAAAUAACAGGAUCAAUAGUUCCAUCACGCUUAAUAGAUAACAUGACUUCGCUAAGUCAGUUAUAACUUUGAAAAACAUCAGACUGCUUCAAUAAUAUAAAUUCAGGAUCAUAAGCUGAAUUCAUAUCAGGAUAAUAAUCGGGUUUCAUUCACUGAUGAUAAAUUAAUAAUCACGCAUUACUGGGUUUAAUAUAUAUAUAAAAGCGGGUCAUUACAACGUUGCUACACAGACAAAUAAUCUAGCCACCCAGGCAUAGAACCAUUCACAACAUUGCCACACAUACAAAUAAUCCAGCCACACAGGCAUAGAACAAUUCUCCACAUUUGCCACACAGGCAAAUGAUCCAGCCACCCAGGCAUGGAACCAUUCACAACAUUGCCACACAGACAAAUAAUCCAGCCACCCAGGCAUGAAAUAAUAAUAACCGAUUGGCUCAACUGUGCACAGGACCCUGUCAUACCCGUCGUCCACAAAUCAGUGACUCACCGUCACGCUACCAUAAGCACCAAUGCGCAUGCUCACCGUUCAUAAACAAAUUUAAUUCACGUGACAAUUGAAACAUAUUUAUUGAGUUAGAAGAAAAUUCACCCACCUCUAAUCAAGCACAACAGAAGAAACUCAAUCAAUUCUCAAACGAGGGUCCUAAUCGCGCCGCACCUAAUUAAAUAAAUACAAUAAUUUUAUAAGGCCUAAGUAUCAAUCUUAAAUAAAAGUGUGAAAUAAGAUUCAAUGAUUUAUAAAACCCGAACUUUCUGAAGAAAAUUACAUUUAACAAAUUUAUUGUAAUACUGAUACUAAUUUAUACAAUAAGUAAAAAAAAAAACUUUAGCUCGUAAUGAAGUAAUCUCAAUCAGAAUACUCUGAUCACCUGAUUUAAACUUAUAUGUGUAUACAUAUGUAUCUAAUUAACGUCAAUAAAAAUACCACUAAACAACUAUUCUUAAUUAGCGUAAUUAACACAUAAAAUAAACAAUGAUAGAAAUCAUAUACAAAUUCUAGGUAAUCCAUUUACUCAAAUUCCCAAACUAAUAUAAUUAUUAAUAAUACUUUACCAUNCAAUACUAAAAACAAUCUUCGUGUUUAAUCACAAAAACCAAUCUUUGAUAAAAAGAAAAAAAAAAUUACUUGAUACCGUAAUUGGCCCAAUUAAAUAAAAAAAUAUGUUUAAACUAAAAGGCAACUGCUGCCGAGUAGAUCCCAUUAAUACGAGAGAGAGGCCCAACACUGGAGCCCGACCCGAAAUCCGCUUUCUUGGGCCGGGCCCAGGCAAUAAUGGGCUACAUCUGUAGAGCGUCAGUUUUAGGGUGAUUCUAUUCAUAGCCCUCAUUUUACUCUUUAUAGCCAUUUAUUUAAUAAAAUAUUAAAAUUAUUAAUAUAUAUAUAUAUACUAUUUUAUCCUUAUAGCCCCAAUCUAAUUUACAUAUGACUUCAUCCGGAGCCCUAAAAAUCUAAAGGAAGAACAUGUUGCGAUUUAAUUACAAAUUCUUCGAAGACUUCAAAGACAAAUUCUUCAAGACUUCAUUUAGGAGUCUGAUUCUUAUUCCUCUGUCUCACAGUUACUGCCUAAUUAAAGAGAGAGAAUCACACAACAAAUUUACUCUGGAAAGAUGAAGGUGCUUGAGGCAUGGAAAAAUUUUAUGCCAAGUACAUAUCGUCUUGCAGUUGCAGGUUGAUGAUUCAUGAAAUUUCAAAUUUAUGUGGGCUUAAAAUUAGUUCCUUGCAUUUUGCUUAAAUACUCCUUUGAAACUAGUAGUAGUAUUUAUUUGUGUUUGUUUUGGAUGAUGGAGGGGACACACAAAAAGGCAAUCUGCUUUGGUGGUUGAUGUAUCCCGAUGAUAAUUUCCUUUCAUAUCUGUUAAAGAUGAUAAAAUUUUGAAAUUUGUGGGGAAAUAAACUAAAAAAAUGUUGCUGCAAUUUUAAUCCAACGUAUUCUGAAAUAGAAAGAAGAAAAAUAUUGCUGCAAUUUUUAGAAUUAAAUCCCAGCGUGUUCUGCUUAAGGAUGGCAACAGGCCGGAUCUGGACCGGAUCUCAUCAAUACCAGAUCCAGAUCCAGAUCCGUUUUCAUCUAUCAGAUCCGGACAAAUCUGAAAAUUUUGGAUCCAGAUCCGCCAGAUCUGCGGAUCCGUGGGUCCAGAUGCAUGGAUCUAUUGUUUUAAAAUUAAAUUAAAAAAAAUCACAAAAUUGACAACAUCUAAUUUUCAUCACAAAAGCAUUCUGCCGAAUCUAACAAAAGUUUUAAAAAGGAAGAAGCUAUCGAAUAAUAAUAAUCAAAUCAACUUAUCUAAUAUAAUCAACAUUGACAAAACAUGACUCACCAGUCACCAACAUUAACAAAAUCAACUUAUCUAAUAAUCAUAAUCAACUUUUGACAAAAUAAAAAACUAACCUAAGACAAAAUUUCAAUUUCAGAAUCAAAUCAAAAUGCACAUUUUUUUAAUUUAUAACCUUUGAUUCAGAGAAUCCUGUGGUAGACAUUGACAUGGCUAAACGACGGCGGCGGUGGAGUCUGGGGGCGACGGACGCAGCGGCGGCCGAGAUGAAAUGGCAGCACGCAGAGUCGCACCGGCGAACUGGAGAAGGUCGAAGGUGGCGGCGAACUGGGAGUGCUCCAAGAGAUCCGAGAAGGUGGCCGGCGAGCUGGAGCUGGAGUGGUCCGAGAAGGGAAAGAGGGGCGGCGGGCAAACUGGAGAAGGAUGGGCGUAUGCCGCGUGUGCUGCAGCUGCUGCUGUCCCCGCCUUUGCCAGCGGCGGGCGGGAGAGUGACUCAGGCGGCGGGCGAGUGAGGGAGAUUGAGAGAGGAACCGAGAGAGGUUAGAGCCUAGAGGAGAAUUAUUAGAAUUGGAAACUAGGGUUUCAAUUUUCAAAGUUAUUCUAAUUUUUUUAUUAUUUUUAAUUUUUAAUAUAUCUAAUACUAUUAAUAAAAUAAAUAUAAAAAAUAAAUAAUAUAUUUUAAAAAAAAAUCGGAUCCACGGGUCGGAUCUGGGUCAAAUCCGGAUCUCAAAUUUCAAGAUCUAGAUUCAGAUCCGUUUUAGAAAAUGAGAUCCAGAUCCGCANNNNNNNNNNNNNNNNNNNNNNNNNNNNNNNNNNNNNNNNNNNNNNNNNNNNNNNNNNNNNNNNNNNNNNNNNNNNNNNNNNNNNNCCGGCCUUAAUUAAGGAUAAUUAAUCCGGGAAAACCAUGACUGGGGAAGGGAAAUUAAGAAGCGGGUUUAGAAAGGGGUCCAUAAAAGAAUACUCAAAGAGCUUGAAUACGCGUGAAAUAUUCCUUAAAAAGGAAAAAGGCAUCGUUACGGGCUUGGCUAAAACAUUAUCAGAGUUUGCAACGGAAGGCGUAACUGAAAUAAUCAGUGUUUACAGCGGAAUGCAUAACUGAGAUACAUGUAUGAAGACAUGUAUCCUUUCUGAGCCUACUUUAAGUUCGACAAAAGCUUCACUCAGCAAUACUUCAUCGCCCAUUACAACUCAACCUGCACAAACAUAAACAUACGAAGGGCUGAGUACAAGAGUACUCAGUGGGCAGUGCCAAGCAUAUAACAUAAUAUCAACAACAAAACACAACUUCGCAUAAGAGGUACGAGUUUCUUUCAUAUCCUUUGUUCAUUAAACAUUUCCAAAAUUCAUAAAUAGCAUAAGGGCAUUCUUCAUCAUCAAUCUUCAUUAACAAACAUCGUGUCGUGGAGAAGGCCUUCCCCAACGAACACGGGCAUCGCACCGUGAGGGGGAGCCUCCCUCAGCGGUCACGGCAUCGUACUAUUGAGGGAGGCCUCCCCCAAUAGACGCUGUAACACUGACAUACUGGCAUACUGGCAUACUGGCAUCGCGCCGCUAGGGAGGCCUCCCUCAGCGGACACGGGCAUCGCGCCGUGAGGAAGGCCCUCCUCAGCGGACACGGCAUCGUACUGUUGAGGGAGGCCUCCCCCAACAGACGCAAGCAUCAAUCAUAAGCAUAAACCUAUCAGCGUAAAGCAUUCAAGCGUAAAUAAGCGUAAAUUACAUAGGCGUAAAUAGUAUAAAUAGCAUAGCGUAAAUCAUUUAACGUGCAGCAUAAUAAAGCUUAACUCAUUUAAGCGUAAUAAAGCAUACCACACUUGAAGAUCCAAUUUGCAUUUUAAAGCAUAACACUUGCAUAGCAUUUUAUUUACGCGUAAGAAAUUGCCCACCUGAUAGCAAAGUUUUGCUAAGGUACUGUGACUCUUUGAGAAAUUCUUACUCUCGCGCUUGACCUUAAUCACGAGAAUGUAAAAUAAGACAUUGCCUCGAGGAAAAUUCUCAAUUAAUGAGAAAGCGUAAAAUAAAUAUGCAUGACUCUCUUAUGCAUGAUUUAUUAUUCCGGCUUAAUUGUCCGGGAAAUCUACUAUUAAUCUUAACUCUCGGAUUAAAUAAAUUAAAUAACUUAAAUAAGACUCGUCGCAUGAGGUUGGAUAAAUGACCAUAAUUAGUCCGUAAAUCGCAAGGUGUUCUAACCCACGUAAAUAGAUCUCGCCCUAUUUAAUCGAAAAAGAAGGGGAAUAGCUAAAUCCGAUUACUCGUGCAAUAGUCCCAUAAUAAUUUAUCCAUAAAUAAAAAUAAAUGGAUUUAAUUAAUCGAUUAAUCAGGGCCAAUCAUUGUUUGGGCUGAACUAAAUAUGGAAGGAAUAAUAGCAAUAAUAAUAAUUCAUUGAUUAAAAGGCUCAAACAUAAGACAGCCUAAUAAUUAGAUAAGUAAAAGUGAGCUUGAAUAAAUAAAUAAUGGCAGCCCACUAUUAUUUACAUUUGCAGCCCAAAUAAAAAUAAUAAUGGCUCGAGUGAAUGAAUCAGAUAAUUGGACUGAAUAAUUAAAUAAAUCUGGCUCAAUCAAUAAAUCUGGUCUGAAUAAUUAAUCCAUAAUGAAUCAAUUAAGGGCAACUCAUAUAAUUAAUAUGAAUUUGGGCCGGAUUAAAAAUAGUAGCCCAUUUACUGAAUAAAAUAGUUGGGCUUAAAUAAAUCAAAUAUAAUUGGCCCAGUAAAAUAAUUAAGGAAGAGGCCCAAAACCAUUUAAACACAAGCCCAAUCUUUUAAAACAAUUGAAGCCCAAACUUUAAAAAAUGAUUCGGCCCAAAUAUCAUAAGGAAAUGGCCCAGUUCGAAUUUACUAUAUGGAAGCCCAAAACAAUUAAAAUUAUGAGGCUCACAUAAAUAAAUAAAAGAAAAGCCCACAUCUUAAAAUUAAACCAAGCCCAAAUCCUUAAAACAACUCAAGCCCAAAGAUUAAACCAAGCCCAAAUCCUUAAAACAAAUCAAGCCCAAAGAUGGGAGCCCAGUUAGCAAUUAAACCCUUCUCUCUCUUAUACCUCACGCCUCUCUCUCAUUUCUUUCUUUCUCUCACCAAACUCACGCAAACACAGCCGCGCGGCUCAUCUCCCUCCCUUCUCACGCGAUCUGCCGCCGCCGCCUGAGACCCGCGAAGCAUCCGGCGCAACCGCCGCCGACAGAUGUUGCUGUUGCCGCUGUUGUCUGAAAUCGGUGGUCAGUGGCUCGCUCUCUGCUGCUGAAAUUCCGGCGAGGUCGACACUUAUCGACUUGCAUCGUCUCUUCCUUGGCUGUUCAGCGGCCGUCGGUUCUGGUCUGGAGCCGGUCGCCCUUUUCUCCUCUUCUUUUCUCGUUCUUCCUUUCAGCGCGGCUGGGAAGAAGCCCUAUGCUUCCCGUUCAGCCGACCUCUGCCGUCGUUUUUCCACAAUCUGCGAGUGGCGGGGAGAAGCUUGCUGCCUCCGGUGAUUCUCUCCUCCGGCGACUGGAGUAAGAAGGCCUACGCCUCUCACCGCGCCGCUGCUGCCCCUUGGACCGUUGCUGCUGCGCACAAGUUUCAGCUCGUCGCCGGGUAGCUGCUGUUCGGGGCCCUGAUGAGGUUGGGCGAGUUCGCCCUGUCCCGACCGUCGUCGUCGUCCCCGUCGGGCUGUCAGCCCUUCUUUCCGAUGCAGGCGAGAGUUCGCCGUUGCAUUGGGCUCGUCCGAACAGGCAGCCGGCACUAUAUCUUAAGGCUAAGUCCUAAAUCCUUCUGUUCUAGUUUCUAUUUUGUUAAAGGCAGAGGUUCUCAAGCUUUUGUUGUUCUAGAGUGUAGUAGGAUGAAAAGCACAAGUCUUAACGUGGACUGUCUGAUAUAUUGGUGGAACAUGAUUAUGCAUAUGUGAUUUACUAUAUCCCUCUGUAAUACGAAACUGAUCAUGUAGUUGUUUCUAUAUCAUAGGAGUUCUUACUGACUUCGUGAUUGCUAAGACCCUUAUGCAUAUAUACUCAUUAUAUACUUAGUAUUCAUUAACUGAUCAUGCUUGUUGGAUGAAAUGCAAAUGGAAUUCGAAUGAAAGGAGCUUAGUAUAUACCGGUAAUUGUUUGUUGUUGAUGGCUGCUGUUGUUGAUUGAAUCAGUGGAUAGAUACACUUGAAUGUUGGCAGCAGCUUAAUGAAUUCUCCUCACUUUGGUGGCUGAAGGAACAUAGAAUGAAGGCAAGGAGUGUUGGCUAGUAGCCUUAAAGAAUCGAAGAUGGUGGAGGUGGUGGUUGAAAAGGUAGGGAGCAAAGGGUGGUGGGCUGAGGGAGCACACUUAUUAUUCAUUCCACUAACUUUGCAACAUUUUUUUAAAACUAUCUCUCUUUCUCGGUGGAACGUUGUUGAAGUGGAGAUAGCUGUCAUAAGGUGGCUUACUUUCCAUCCCCUGUGUGCCUUGACAUGAUUAAAGGGAUGGGAAAGUUGCUGGAAAGCUGCUGUUGUAGCUAUUUUACACACACAUAGUACACGUUUGGUUUGCUUUCUUGAUGUAGUAGGUAGAAAAUAGGGAUGCAAAGAAUAAUAAGUUGUAAAGUUGUGAUGUGAUAAAUAAAAUCCUCAUUCUGUAUUUGUAAUACUAAUUUCGGGUUCCCAUAUAACGAAGCUUCGUUAUAACUCUAUACGAAUUACAUAUUAUAUAACUUGUUUUAUAAGUCGAAAAUUAAUCACGACUUCAAGUAAAUAAUAGAAAUAAUAUUUCUAUUGCACUUAAUAAAUAAUAUGACUUUGCUAAGUUAGUUAUAAUAUGAAAUAAUAAUUAUUGAUUGCUCAAUAAUUCUCAUCGUGUUUUUCUCAUGCGUUACAAAAGUAUAAAGCUUAAAAUAAUAACUCCAUUUCUGAUAAAAAAAAAAUCAGGACCAUAAACUGGAUUCAUUUAUAUAUAAAAAAUUACAUUUACUAGUUUUAAUCAUAAUUAAAAGAGCGGGCUACUACAUACUACCCCUCUUAACAAAAAUUUCGUCCCGAAAUUUGCAUAUCUCUGCUAAAACAGUUCGGGUAUUUUUUUUUUUCAUCUUGUCUUCAAUUUCCCGCGUAGCUUCUCUUGUCUGCGGUGUCUCCAUAAGAUUUUCACUGAUGUGAUUGAGGCUGAUUUCGCAAGUAUCCACGUAUUGCUGGCAAAGGGGUGCGGGUGUUUCCAAUUGCUGAACCUCGUUGUCUGUUGGGGCAUUGCGUGGAGUAGUGACCCUUUUGGCCACAAUUGUAACAACCGUUAGUCCCAGAUCGACAAACGCUCCUAUGCAUCUUACCACAAUUUGGGCAAGGUGAAAUUCCUCUCUGACUUUGGCUAUCCCCAGUUGGCUCGAGGUUAGUCUGUGCCUCGUACCUUGGUUGAUAACUGUUCGCCGUUCUUUCUUGCCACACUUUCUUACUAGUCUGAUUGAUAUUGUCUUCGUUGUUGUCCCACUUGCGCUUCCCUUUGAGAGUAUGUGAGGCUACUGGUGGAUCGUUUGGCGUUGAGAUCAACAAUGGGGCUGAUUUGUCCGACGGCAUUGCAGCUUCAACGUCAAGUGCCCUGUUCAGAGACUCCGUGUAUGAGAGUCCUCCGUGGCUUGCUAGAGUCAUCCUAAUUUCGUGUCGCAGACCGGCACAAAAUUUCUCUGCCAUCUUCUCAUCUGUGUCCACUUGUUGCGGAGCAAACCUAGACAGGUUGCAGAAUUCCUUGUCGUAUUCAACCACAGAUUUCUUUCCUUGCUUCAACUCGUAGAACUCAGCUUCUUUCUUCUUCCUAUAGCUUUUCGGAAUAUAUUUAUCAUAUAAUCCUGUCUUAAAAUCUUCCCAAGUAUAACUUGCCCAUUGUUCAGGUGUCAAAAUUUUUCGACGUGCUUCCCACCAGAAGUCAGCUGAUCCUGUUAGCUGGAAUGAGACGCAAGAUAGGCGCUCCUCAUCAGUACAACGUAGAAAGUUGAAAAUACGUUCCAUUGCACGCACCCAAAUCUCAGCUUCAGCCGGUUCACUUGUUCCGUCAAACGUAGGUGGAUUUUGCCUUAAAAAGAGUUCUUCGACUCUCCUAGUCGGGGGUGGAGGGGGUGGGUUAUGUCCUCGAGCAUCUUGUGGUUCUUCUGGUACAGCGUUAUGAUUUCUGCGAUUGUUAUUGUUUCUCACAGGGCGUCCUCUCUUAGGCGGCAUUCUGAUAGCAAGGAUGUGCCAAUAAGUACACUCUAGCAUAAUCUAAUACAAGCCUCAAAAGAAUUCUUGUACAGGUUAAAUUAUUCUAACUUGUAAACAAGUCAUAACUCCAAUGACUGCAUUGAUGUAGUAAGCUUUAAGGGUCCUUAGCAUCUCAAAUCCAUGAGUCAUAUCAAUUCUUAAGCAUAUAAUAUCACAUCAUCUAAAUUGGAUACUUAAGCAUAAGUCAUGGAGAUUCAUAGCGGCUAUAAAAUCAUGAGCUUAAGAAUUAUUCUAUACGUAUCACUUAUCUUGCUGCCUUCACUAUAGCCACCAAAAGAUACAAUCUAAUUUCUUCUAUGUUUGCUUCUAUGUUCUGUCGUAGUGGUGAUCUCAUAACUUAAUAGCUCUAUGUUCAUAGGGAUUCAUUCCAUAGGCAUACUUAAUCGCACUUGCGUAAAUCAUUUCAUUCAAUAACAACAUAACAUAACUAUUAACAGUUACUCACUUUGCUAUUACGAUAAUUCUGACUUUUUGUAAACAUUAACUCAAAACUUGGAAGAGCAUACCAUUCUGCUUCGUUGAGUGUGAUGCGAUGAAGUGCUGAGCUUUGUCGAUUGAACUCUAGACACUUUAGUGAUCCAUUCUAAGUUUGGCUUAAAUACUCAUUUACCUGUACUUUUCACAUUUUCACAUCUCUCAAUAUUCUAUUUACUUUUACUUUUCACAUUGUCGUAUUAAAACUCGCGCUUCUCCAUUCUAGGAAAUUAUUUUGGAGACAAAGGAAGUAUUAUAUUAUUAUAUAAUAAGUAAAUAGGUUUCUAAACGUCUAUAUAUUUUUGUUUACAAUGAUCGGAUUUUGAAUUUUUUGAUGUUGUUGGAUUUUCACAGUUUAUGUUGCGUUCUACAGACUUUUGUGGUUCAAAGUAUAUUAUAAAUAAUACUCCAUCCGUCCACUAAUUCAAGGCCUUCUUUCCUUUUUGGGACGUCCACCAACUCAAGGCCUGUCCAUUUUUAGUAAGUUUUUAUUUAUAUUUAAUUGGUGGGUCCCAAAACAAUACACUUUUUCUCCACUCAACUAAUAAAUAAUACAUUAGUUGUGGGUCUCUUUCUCCACUCAACUAAUAAAAAUACACUUUUUCUUAAAACCCGUGUUUUGCUACUUAGGUCAUGAAUUAGUGGACGGAGGGAGUAAAUUAAUAUAUGAGCUUAACUAUUUACUAUCAUAAAAAAAUCAACUAUUUUCUUGUCUUCUUGAUUUAUUAUUUCCACAUUAAUAAUUCAAACCACCAAUAUAAAUAUAAUUAUAUAUAUUAAAAGGCAUGUGUGUGAAAAUAAAUUCAAUUUGAAGGAUAAAAUUGAAAUUGAAAUAAAAUGCAUCAUCUACUGUAAUAAUACUGUCGAAAAUAUCAACCGAAAAAAUAAAUUGCCCAAAGUUUAAUGUUACAAUUAGGGUUAAUUACGUCAAAACUCAUGAACUAUAUAAGGGUAACAUUGCCCCAAUUUCCAACUUUUCCAUGAACUUUAUAUAUAUAUAUAUAUAUAUAUCAGCAAUUCCACCAAUUUAAGGGGUUGAACAAAUUUUCUACAAUUUUCAUAAUUCCCCAAAUUGAAAGCUGACAUGACACCUUUUAAGUUAAUGGAAAAAUGACGUGGAAUUAUCGGACGAUUAAUAAAAUGAUGUCGUUUAGGUGGGAUAAAACGACGCCGUUUUGUCCUGUGUUUUUUUUUUCUCUCUCUCCUAGAAUUGUCGUCGCUGCCGCGAAUCGGAGCUACACUUGUUGCCGUCGUCUGCUGCUGCGUGAAUCGGAGUUGCACAUGUUGUCGCCGCCUGCCGCUAUUUCGUCCAUCUCUUCCGCGACCAAGACGUCUGCUGAAAUUGGGGGCAACGAGUACUGCAAUGGCAGUGGUUCGUGCCCCUUUCUUUCUUAUCGACCCCUUCGCAACCCCGUCUCUCACCGCCGGCGACAUCCACGUAGGAAUUCGACUGAAUCAGCAGACGUUAAGGGUGGUAGGGUUUUGGGACGGUCAGGAACUAGGACUCUGACGACGACUUGUUGUUGUCAAUCAAAGCGAGAGAGGGGCGAGUUUUCGUGUCUAAGAUCGAGGCAGGCGGCGGCGCCUUGCCGUCGCUAAAGAGGAAGGCGAAGGCGGUGGAUUUUGAGGAGGAGUCAUCUUAUUCCAGCGGCGAUCCACCAGACCUGGAGGAUGAGAGAGGGAAAAUCAUGGAUUUAUUAUUUUUUUUCCAUGUGUCAAUUUUUCAAUCCAAGUAGGCUCGAUACUGCCACAUGAGAGCUAUGUCAGCUUGGUACUUCACCGAAGUUCAAAUAUGUGGAAAAAAUUGUUCAACCCCUUAAAUUGGUGGAAUUGCUGAUUAAUAUAAUAAUAAUAAUAAUAAUAAUAAUAAUAAUAAUAAUAAUAAUAAUAAUAAUNNNNNNNNNNNNNNNNNNNNNNNAAACAUAAUCAAAAUAUGGAAUUUUUAAAACACAUUAUCAUCCUAGUUAAUAUUUAAGUGAAAAACCUACCCAUACUAAAAUUUGGGCUACAAUUCUACCAAACCAAUCUGACUCGAAAAUCACUUUUAUUAAAAAAAAUGUCGGGGCGACUAGUCUAAUUUUCAAGCCAUGUUUCUCACGGCCCAGUCCGAAAAAAUUCGAGUGCCAAAACUUCUACGACGUAGCUCAUUGAACAUAGCUGAGCAACUUUUGAAAGGUCUAAUAGUUAUUACUUUAUUCGUUCACAACAAUUCUUCCACUGAUUUUAAGAAAAGUUAGUUAUAUAACUUAUAUAUGUAUUUGGUGAGUGGGGGAAUGAGCUUCACAAUUAGAAAAUGUGUUGAUAAUUACUGAGUUUUUGUGAGUCCAUUUAGUGGCAAUAUAUGUAAUAUGUAGGAAUUUUAAGGCUGAUAGUAAGAUUAUUUCUAUAAAAAAAUAGUAAGAUAUUUUUGUGGAUGAACGAUAAAAGAAAAUUAAAAAGAGCUUUUGUGGAUGAAAGAGAGUAUUCUAGUGAGUAAGUGAUAUGCACACGGUCACGAGAGUGUGAUUUGUUUUGUGUUACAAAAUAAAUGUUGUCCUAAUUUCUACAAAUUGAGAUUUUUAAUUUUUUUAAUAUUUAAAAAUUUAUUUUUGUGUUUUUCUUUCUUUUGCAUGUGUAUCUAUAGUGAUUGGUGUGUAACUAUAAUAGACAUGUGAUCGUACAUAUAAUCUGAAUAGAAAUUAAUUAUUUAGAUUUUAAAGUGUAUCCGUUCAUGAAUAAUUUUGGAUGAUGAAAUACAACUUAAUUAAUAAGAUGUUCUUCUUUCAAUUAAUAGAUCAAAAGUUUGAGUCACCUAAAAGAACUAAUGUAUGUGGAUCAUUUUUUUUAGGGAAAAUUGCACCUAAAUACACAAACUUUGCCAAAAAUCCAUAUUUGACGUGAAGUUAGGAUUUUACAUUUUAAUACACCAACUUUUGUUAUUAUCCAAAUUUGACACGACUUAAUUCUUAAAAAUUCAAAAAACAACCCCUUUUUAUAAAUAAUUAUACAAAGACCCACUUAUGUUAUAAUUUGGGACAUUUAAACCAAAACAAGAUAUUUUCUUAUGAUGUUUUCUUUUAAAUCAUUUUAGGCGCGGAUCAAAGAUUAAAAGAAAAUAUCAUAAGGAAAUAUCUUGUUUUGGUUUAAAUGUCCCAAAUAAUAACAUAAGUGGGUCUUUGNNNNNNNNNNNNNNNNNNNNNNNNNNNNNNNNNNNNNNNNNNNNNNNNNNNNNNNNNNNNNNNNNNNNNNNNNNNNNNNNNNNNNNNNNNNNNNNNNNNNNNNNNNNNNNNNNNNNNNNNNNNNNNNNNNNNNNNNNNNNNNNNNNNNNNNNNNNNNNNNNNNNNNNNNNNNNNNNNNNNNNNNNNNNNNNNNNNNNNNNNNNNNNNNNNNNNNNNNNNNNNNNNNNNNNNNNNNNNNNNNNNNNNNNNNNNNNNNNNNNNNNNNNNNNNNNNNNNNNNNNNNNNNNNNNNNNNNNNNNNNNNNNNNNNNNNNNNNNNNNNNNNNNNNNNNNNNNNNNNNNNNNNNNNNNNNNNNNNNNNNNNNNNNNNNNNNNNNNNNNNNNNNNNNNNNNNNNNNNNNNNNNNNNNNNNNNNNNNNNNNNNNNNNNNNNNNNNNNNNNNNNNNNNNNNNNNNNNNNNNNNNNNNNNNNNNNNNNNNNNNNNNNNNNNNNNNNNNNNNNNNNNNNNNNNNNNNNNNNNNNNNNNNNNNNNNNNNNNNNNNNNNNNNNNNNNNNNNNNNNNNNNNNNNNNNNNNNNNNNNNNNNNNNNNNNNNNNNNNNNNNNNNNNNNNNNNNNNNNUAAAAGAAAAUAUCAUAAGGAAAUAUCUUGUUUUGGUUUAAAUGUCCCAAAUAAUAACAUAAGUGGGUCUUUGUAUAAUUAUUUACAAAAGGGGUUGUUUUUUAAAUUUUUAAGAAUUAAGUCGUGUCAAAUUUGGACAACAACGACAGUUGGUGUAUUAAAAUGUAAAAUCCUAACUUCGCGUCAAAUAUGGAUUUUUGGCAAAGUUUGUGUAUUUUCACGCAAUUAUCCCUUUUUUUAUGAAAUAAAAUUUGAAAAUAUAAAAAGAAACCUGGGGAACUAGAGAAAUUUUGCUUUAUAAAAAGACUUUUUGUACGUAUAUAGCAUGGUUAUUUUUCUUUAAAUAAUAAAAUUUGAAUAUAUAAAAUGAAAGCUUGGGAAGAAAUUUUGCUUUAUAAAAAGACUUUUGGUUGCUCCAUGUAAAUUAAAAUGAAGUAGCGUUGACUGCCGCCAAAAUAUCUGAUUGGUUGACAAUUUGAUAGAACAUCUUUUGUCUCAUGUCCUCUUUAGUUGUGUAAUAGUCUAUAUACAAAUGUGUUAAACUUCCUGUAGUAUUAAUUAUUGAAACAAUUUUAAAAAAUCUAUAGAAAGCCCUAGUCCAUAAGAGAGGAGCUACUCAACGUGAAUGUUUGUUAGGCAAAACAUUCACGUGAAUACACACAAUCCCCAUGAUUUGUGCAAACAACGGUCACAAUCUAUUUAUGUUGGUAUCUUGUCUAUAAUGAUAGUAUGGUAUUUAUUAUGGCAUCAAACCAUAAUGCGCAGCUCAUUUUAUUUGCUCAAUUUCAUAUAGAUUAAGAGAGUGAGCAAGUUUAAUUAAUUUUCUGAUUUGAAUCAAAGUUAAAAAGAAAGAAAAAAAAAUUGGAUUUCGUAAACAUGAGUACUGACGAUUAAAAAGUUAUCAAGUGACGGCACUGACAAAGAUCUAGAUCUACGAAAAUUUGGAAUGAUGGUUAAUUUAGUAUCAUACAAAAAACUGUGUAAAAAGAAUUUAGUAUCAUACAAAAAUUUUGAAUGUCUUACAAAAGACUACAAUUUGUAUUGUCGUGUAUACACAAAUAUUAUAGUCUUUGUUUGCAAGUAUUAAGGUUUUUGAUGAAAAUUGUUGAGAAAAUUGACUGUACACUACGGUUGUACAUGAAAUAACUACACUAAAAACCCUAGUCUACAAUUGACAAAUAGAUUACAAUAGAAACUGUAGCAUAUGUCCAUGUAGUCUAUUGUGGAUAUAUAUAGACUAUAGUUUCAUGUGGAAGUAGAUCUUUAUGAUCGAACCACGCAAAAAUUCUUGAUAUUAUUUCUCUUUAUAUUUAUUUGUUGAGGAAUCAACCUGUUAAUCUAAUCUCAACAUAAAUAGUUUUUUAGUUGGUUUUCUGUGAGACUGAAUGUAUAGGUGAGACCGAUUUUGACCCAACCCGAUCAAGAGCGCGGGCGUGGGGAGGGUGCAAGCGCAACUUGGGCAGAGCAACAGGGGCGUGCGCGCGAAGCUAAGGGUGUGGGCGUAGGUGGCUGGCAGAGUUGCGGAGGGUGCAGGCGCAGAGCGAAGGGCGCGGCGACGAUGUACUUAUUUUGAUCAAGUAAUUAUUGUUGUAAGAAAGUAAUCUGAUACUAGAAACUUUCGGCGUGCGACUAAAAGCUUUCGGCGUGCGACUUUUUGGCCCAACGCCCCACGGCCCUGCCGGCGUGCUCCCUCUGCGUCGAGCCUCGCCGUCCGCCUAAGCCUCGCCGCGACACCGUCGCCCUGGCACUCUCCUCGGCGUCGCCCAGAUGAGGCUACCUCCCAAACUCUAAGAUCUGAGACUUGAGAGCGCUAGCAGUUGCAGAGAUUGGAGAUCGGAGCUCUUUGCGCUGCACAACUUCUCGCCGACCAUAACCUGCGCGACUGCACCGCGCUGCCACCCUAGGCGGUUCGCCCAGCCAGUCUCAGAGCCUCACCGCACGCAGCAGCAGCAAUUCCGCCGUCCAAAAGCAGAUCGCUGAAAUUUCGCUGCAUCCGACGACGCCGUCGCGUUUGUAGCUGCCACAGUGGAGAUCGCCGCUGGAGUUCUACUACUCGCUUGAAGUCGCAUGUUGCUGCUGCUCUGGAAGUAGAGUCAAGGCUGCUUCCGCCACAGUGCCGACGAUGGCAGGUUAUGCCGACCGGUCGGCACUCAACCUCCCUCCUAUUUCAAAUAACUUUCGGUCUUCUCCAACGAACCCUAAGCAGCAGGAGGCUGCAACAACACAUAUUUCUGCCGAUGAGAAUCAAAAUCACGUUGAUGUUAAUUCUUUACCUACUGCGCGUGCUCUUCUCAAUGCAGGAACCUCUGCUUCUGACCAACAUGUUCUCGCCGCUGAGCAGCAGACUACGGGAAUGCCUGAUGUUGCGGCUUCGGAAGGCAACAUCAAGGNAAUAAUUCAUAUUUUUCAACUAUAUAAUCAUAACUGGCAAAACAGCGGAGGGCACGAGCGCGAAGCGAAAAGCAUGGCAGAGGUAAUACUUAUUUUGACCAAAUAUUAUUUUUGUAACAAAAAAUAAUUAUUUAUAUAAAAAAGGUAGUAUUUCAAAAUAUUUUUUUAUGUCGAUUAUUACAUUUCAUCAUAAUAAUUACUAUGAAUUAUUCGGUCCAGGCCUAUGUCCCAGCUUUGACCCAACCCAUCUCACCCAUAUACUCAGUCUCACACGAAUAUUUGUGAAGUGAUAACUAGACGUGAACAUAACGAAGUGUCAAUUUUCUCUGAUAACAAUAAUUAAUGUUUUCGUUUUAGGGGGUGUAUUCGUUCAGGAAUUUUGUAGAUUUUUUAAAUUCAAGGACUUUAAAAGUUUAUGGAUUUCACACAGAUUCUUUCGUGUAUUUUGGAAUUCUAAUAGGAAUCUACACAGAUUUUGGAUGGAUUUUAUCAUGAAUUUGACGUAAUUUUUACGGAUUUGAAAUCAAAAAUCCCAGCAUCCGUUGGCUCAAGCGAGCGUUGGACCCAGUGCCCAACGACCGUUGGGUGCCUCGCUGGCUUCUUCUACGUGCUAUCCGCGGCCGCUGGGUUCCAGCCGGCGUUGGCUUCUUCGAGCCGCGGCCGCUGGAUCCCAGCCGGCGCUGGCAUUUCAAGAUUUUCAAAUUCUCGUGGUCCGAGCUCGGAUUUGUUCAUGUAUAUUUUUUGAAUGAAAUCAAUGGAAAUCAGUCCAAUGUUAAAAUCCAUAGAUUUUUAAAUACACCCAAAUUUUCAUAGAGUUUUAAAAGUCUUGAACAAAUACACCCAAGUUUUUAUAGAUUUUUAAAAGUCUUGAACGAUUACACCCAAAUUUUCAUAGACUUUUAAAAGUCUUGAACGAAUACACCCAAAUUUUAAAAGUCUGUAGAAAUCUAUUAAAAUCCUGAACGAAUACACCCCCUUAGUUCCACUUAUGUGUCACUGAAAUAUGUAAUACCUUAUUCUAUAUUAACAUCACAAUCAUGCACUUAACAAUUCUUUUAUGCGUGAACUAAUGUAUAGUAUAAUUUUUGGUUUUUUGAAAUGUAUUCAGCCAUCAAAAUUAUAGUACAUGUUUAGGAAAUAGAAAAAUCUAUUUUUGUAAUCUUAUUAAUUACUAUAAUGAAUGCUUACAUAUACAACCAACUAUCGAAUUCUAAAAGUACUAAAAGGGGUAAAUUAGGAAGAAUGUUAGUAUAAUUUUAAUCUUAAAUUCUAAAAUGGUCAUUUAAUAAAAAAAAUAAAAAUAAAACACUUAUAAAUAAAGGAGGGAGUAAUAUUAUUUAUUGCACGUUAUUUAUAAUAGUGUAACGAAUGCCAAAAGUCUUACAUAAAUUAAAAAUAGUCGAGGUUUCAAACUGCAGGUGUUGGGCACACCACUCGUAUAGGGAAAAUUUGUCCAUAUUAAUAAUUACUAUUUUAUUAGUUAUCAACUGUGGUCAGUAGAUAUUAUUAUCAUAUCUAAUUAACAAUUUUUAGUGUCACUUGGGCCUUUGUAAAAUGAACAGCUUGGUAGUGAAAGUGUCGUGAGCUGAAAUGAAGAUAACAUUUUUAAUUAUACGGAUGAUUUUCUAAGAUAAAUAAUACAGAUUUAGACUCUCGCGCAAUCAACUACUUCUCGAAAUGUCGACAAAUAAUAAUACUCAUUUCGCGAUCAACUCAUUGUACAAAAGUUUUGGUCUACUUUGGACCAUAGAGUGAAAGGCUAAGAAAUAACUUUACGUAAUAAACAAUUAUUUGAAAUUUAACUAUCAUUUCAUGGGAGGAAAGUUAUCGUAAACCGUGAGAAGAAUUAUUUUUUUAGAAUUUAUUGCAUAUAAAUUAUAAAUUUUUAAAAAUGUUUUAUUUCGUACAUCAAUUUUAAAAAUGAUUGUUUGAAAUUUUACGUGUCUAAAUUGACCGAUUAUUAAAGUGACGUGAAUUCGCAAAGAUAGGAAAAUGAACGAAAUAACAUCGAACGGCCACUUUAACACUAAGUUUGAUCGUAAAAUGAGUGAGAUAGACAAAAUGGAAAAUAAUAAUAAUAAUAAUAAUAAUAAUAAUAAUAAUAAUAAUAAUAAUAAUAAUAAUAAUAAUAAAAAUAAUAAUAAUAAUAAUAAUAAAGAAGUAAUUUUAAUACAAAUUUUAAAGUUGAUGUGCAAAAUAUUUCUUUUUUAAUUUAAAAUUUACUCCCUUCAUCUCACCAAUUUAGUCCUCUUUCACACAUAUUAAGAAAAUUAAUGCAUUUAAUUUUCUUUUAAAAAAAUAUUAAUUUGUAUAUUUUUAAAUAAGAUUAAUUUAGUAAAUUAAUAUUUUUGUAUAAUAGUAUUAAUUAAAAAAUGAAUUAUCUUUUUAGAAUAUUUCAAAAUAAAAUAAAGAACUAAUUUCAUUGGAUGGAGGGAGUAUAUGAAAUGAACUCAAUUUUUCAUGUAUUAUUGCAUCAACCGGUGACUAUUCUUUUGUUUUUCUUUCUGAAACCAACCGGUGACUAUUCUAAAUUCACUCUAGUGCUUAAAAAGAAAAGAAUUAAUAUGCAUAUAUAUUCUUAUCCUCAAAGAUAAAGAAAUAUUAACGAUAAUGUCGAUACAUGAGAUUAGCAACUGCACAUUUCUUUAACGCGUAUUUAUCCAAUAAACACUUAUGACAACUGCACAUUUCUUUUCGUUAUAAAAAAAUAUUAGCAUGCUCACAAAAUAUAUAACCGGGCUCAAAGAUUUCUUCUACUUCAGUUUUAUCUAGUCAUUACUAUUAUUUAACUAUAUUAUUUAAUUUAUUUUAAUAAAAGUAAUAUAAACAUCAAUUUUGAUCAAAAUCUAACUUUAAGGUUUAAGAAGGUUGCAAAUUUCGACGAAUUUAACUUAUAAGUAGUGUGAUGCCCCGCUUUUUAAAUACAUAUUAGAUUAAAUAUGUGCAUUUUAUAAAAUUCUUUUAAUUAUUUAUGGUGAUUAUUUUGUUCAGAUAAUAUUAUUUCAGCAAAAGUCUGUAUAAGAGAUACAGAGCUGCGAUUUAAUAUUCAGUCAUGAAUGAAACCAAUAAUUAAAUUUAUUGGUUUAACUAUACGUUUGAGACUUUGUUUUACCAGUUUAUUGAUUUAAUCAAUAUUAUUAGAAAAUUUAGAUUUAUAACCGAUUUUAUAAAUCGUGUUAUUUAAAUCAAAUUGCUAGAAUUAUAACUUGAGAUCAUAUGCAUAAUAAUUUUAUUAUUUCGCAUUAUAUGAGUUAAGGUAUUAAGUCACGAAUUAAUUCCGACUUUCACGUUAUUAAAUCUCAAGAUUGAGGAUUUAAUUUAUUAAAUACGAGAGUAUUUAUUAAACGAGAAUUGGAGAAUUAUUACAGGAACUAGGAGAAACUAGAUCACGGCACUACACGUAUGUCUCGAUUUUUCAUCCAACACAUCAAUUCCUACACUAUUUCCUACACUAUUCCCUACACUAUUCCCUAUACUAUUCACUUCCCCUCCAAUACACCAUUACUGCAGAAGGAGAUUGUAAAGAUUGCAGAUUUCUUCCUGUAGUAUAUCUGAACUCCAUCACACCCCAAAGUCUCCUGUAGGAGAAGAAAAUCACGCCAAUAUCCACAAUUUUCAAAAGACUUCAGCACGCCGAGAAAGAAAUUUCACGGUAAGAUCACAAUUGUCAAAGAUGUAAAUUUCAACGAUCAAAUCUUCAAAAGUUGCAACUCCAGGUACCAAAAUUUCCACCAUUUUGAUUCUGUUGUCUGCAGAAACUCCUCUAUAAAUUGAGGAGAGUUCUGCAGAAGGAAGAAGUGCAGCGAGCAAGAGAGAGUUUGAAUUUUUUUUUUACUUGCAAGAGCUCAAGUGAGCUCCCUUCGCCGGCCAUUUCUUCGUCGACCGGCCACUAGGCUCUGAACCGAGAACGUGUACUCGUUCCUCCAUUUAGGCUACCAAACCCAACAAUCGAAAGGCCGAAACCUUCUCUAUUUUCCCGACCAAAGCCACAAUAUCCUUCGGAGGCCAACGUCGAAUUCCCGACUUAGCCACCGGCCAACUUACGGCCUUCUUUCUCACUAUCCUUACGACGAAAAAGGAUCGAGAAACCACCUUGUGUAGCCUGAUCUACUCGCACGAGGAAAACUAAGUCGUAGACCUUCGCGGCUAAACCCAUGCGGAACGACGACCAGAAAAAAACCCCGCGAACAACUUCCAUUAGUGCUCACUUGGACAAGGGUAAGUUGACGCCCUUAUUUCGAUGCAUUCCCGUUUCUAUUAUAUUAUGGAAAUUUCUGGGGUAUAGAUGGAGUGUGGUAAUAUUGUACAAAGUUUCAUUCAUUUGAACUUCGUUUACUACCCUUUUAAAAUUGAGAAUCUACUCCGUAUCUGCUAAACUGUCGUAGGCAGAUGAUUAGGUUAAUUAUUUCAGUAACCAUAUGUUGAUAUUUAGCUCUCAAUUUUUAUUUAUGAAGAUAUAUGUGUUAGCUAUCUCAUAUAAAAUUUAGUAUUCGGUAACGUUUGCUAUUUUUUCAAAAAUCUGGACUUUCAGUUGGCAGAAACUGCCGAAUCUGGUAGGCGAUGGGAAAAUCGCUAUAUCUCUUAAACUACUUGGAGUUUUUUCAACAACUUUUUUUUCAAUUAAACUAGACUCAAAGAGGUUUCUAUUGAUAUAAAAUUGACUCCAUACGAGUUCGGAGUAAAAGCAGUUUAUUAGUUGAAGUUGAAUCUAUACAGUUUUGUUGAGAUGAAAUGUUCAAAUAAUUCUAUAAGGAUUUUAAAGUUUUAUUGUUGAUAAAAUAUCACUUUUAGUUAUAAAUGAGCUAUUGAUUAUAAUAUUUGAGAAAGAUUUCAUGAGAACUUGUUGGUAAAAUUAUAUUAGAUGGAAUAGUUGAUAAAUGAAAUAUUAAAGAUUUAUUAAUAAAUGGUUAAAAUAUUAAAAUUAUUAAUAUUCGAUCUUCUCGAAAAUUUCUUUUAUAGUUAACUCCUUUUAUUAUUUUUAAAAUAUUUUUUACAAAUGUUCCUAAAAUCUCACAAUGAAAUUUUCAUCAGGAAUUAAUAUUUAGAAUUUAUUAAUGACUUAUUAGUUCUUUUAAUAGUAGCAAUAUAUAUAUAUUGAUUGGCAUUAUUAAAUGGGGAAAAGGAAAAUAUUUUAUAAAUUAUUCUUUAUUUAUAAUGGAUAAAUAAAGGAAUAAUAUAAAAUGGGCUUUCCUACAUCCUCAAAGGUACAUGAAGUAUUUCGAUAAAAGAAGAACGAUUGUAUAUGAGUUAGAUACAGUCGUUUAAGGAAAUAUGGGUAGUUAGAGAAAUGAGUGAAUAGUGAUUCACUGCAUUUGUUGUUAUCUUUUCUAUUAUUCACUCGAACACAUGUUUCGUGUUAUCAAAGGUUCAAAUAAACAAAAGCGCCUGAGUAACCUAUCGCGCUAAGGAAAGAGAAUCAUUGUCUUAAGUAGCAAAACACUGCAAUCAGGUAGGCAUUACUUUCAUAUAUAUCAAAUGAGCUUAAAUGUUACGUUCAAGCAAGUUAUUUCAUGACAAAAUCUUUGAAUUGAAGUUAUUUCAAGUAUUGUCUUGCCAUAAAAUGUUUAAUUUCAGUAUGAUAUCUAUCUGAUAUGGCUUUGCCAGUUAUCAUGUAAUCGAAUUCGGGUCUUGAGCAGUUGAUAGCUAUCCUGCCUUGGCUAGUGUACACCAGUGACCGUGAGUCAUCUAGCGGGUUGGCCGGUCAAGUGACCGUGAGAGGUGGCCACCUCUCCGGCACACAGAUUCAGAUAUGAUAGAUUACAAAAGAACUUAGUCUGAUCAGACGAACUUUAGAAUCACAAAUGAAUUUAGUAUGCUUAGGGCCUUUUUAAAAACCCUUGGUUAUACUAUUGAAAUGGCAUGACAAUUUACAUUUAUUAUGUAUGUAUAUGAUUUUCGGCAUAUGUCUACUGAGUACUUUGUACUCAGCCCUGCAUGUAUUUCUAAAUGUGCAGGUUGAGCAGUGAUGAGUGAUGAUGGGGUGUCGUACGGAGCUUUGUCAUAUUUACUAAAUAAACUCUUGGCGAUACAUGUCUUCGUACAUGUAUCACGUUCUAUUUCCGCUGCAAACACUCAGUUAUGAUGCAUAUUAUCCUAUUAUGUUGGAUUGUCAAAUCAAGUUAUUGUAUAAACACUUAAAUCGGAUACUCUUGACCGAUUACUCGCUCUUAUCUAUUUAUGUGUGUUUUUUUUUCUCAUAUGAUGUCUCAAUCUUAGUUCAAUUCCUUUAUUAUUUAUCACCCCUUUUCUGUCCCCUCUCCUAAUUUCCCUUCCCUAGUCACGGUUUCCCGGCUUACCUAUCCUUAGUUAAGAUCGGUCGUGACAUUUUCAUUCCUCCCCAACACUCCAAUUCCAAACCCUAGCCUCCAUUCUCUACCAUUUUUCUCUCUUCCACACACAAGAACAACACCAAAAUCAAAGAAAGAAGGGGAAGACUUGGAAAUGAGCUCAUCAAGACUACAUGAUUGAAGAUCAAGAUUAUAGGAUUUGUCUAUGAAUCUCUAUCUCUCUAUAUCUUUAUUUAUGUUUUCUUAUGACUUGGGAUUUGUUUUUAUUAUGAAUAUGCUUGGCUAAAAUCCCUUAUCUUAGGGAUUAGAUUAAAUGGAUUGGAUUGAUUUCUUUGUUUAAUAUAUAUCUUGAUUGUGCUUAAUUGUUAUCUUUUCAAGUCCUAGAUUUAUCUCUUGUAUGAUUGGUUGGUCACCUUUUGUGCAUUUCUAAUUUGUGAUUUGAAUUGGGAGAGGAUAAUUACAAUAGAUUAGGAGUUUGAUACAUAUCAUCUCAACAAACCGGGAGGUUGAGAGUUGGGUGAGGGCUUGUUGAUCCUUUGUGCUCUUGGGAGUUAUAGGUUAGAAAUUGACCGGGGACGGCAAUUAUGACCCGUAAUCUACUGUUUUAGUCGUCCGGGAGGGGGCUAAAACUAGUGGGGAGAUCGCCCUAGAUAAGUAGGCCAUAUCAAGAUUUAUAUUGCUUUAGAUUGAAGUUCAUUACGAUCCAUCGAAAUCUAGUCCCUAGGAUAACUUUCCUUCGAGUCAUUCCCCAAUUUAUUAACUAAGUUUAUUUUGUUGUUAUUUUAUUUACUUGCUUUAUUUAGCUUUGUUUUAGUUAUCAACACCUCUUCAACUUUGGUUGUCUAAAUAGAUUGAAAACAACUUUUUAAUAAUAUUUAGAAGUUUAAAUUCACCAAUCCUUGUGGAAUACGACCUUGCUUCCCUAUAUUGCAACUACACCGUAUACUUGCGGCGUGGUGAAAAUAAUAGCGAACAAGUUUUUGGCGCCGUUGCCGGGGAUUGGUUGAGUUUUUACUUUUGAUAUUAUGAAAAGUUGCUUUUGUCUAAUUUAGAUUUUUUUUAUAUUAGUUUAUUUAUAUGUUUAUUUACUUUUGGUAGAGAAAAUUGCCGCACAACCAAAGAAGCGGCACCAAAAAAAAAAUGGACGAUGGAAGGAAUGAGUUGGUUGAGCAACUCCAACUACAAUUGGCGUUGAUGCAACUUAAGUUGCGUGUUUUAGAAGCCAAAAGAAAUUGUAGGCAACCAUUGAUCCAAGAAGCCUUCCAACCAACACCUUCUUAUGGUGAGUAUUAUGACAUGGGGUGCAAUGCCAUAGAGUGGCAAUCACCAUUGGAGUAUGAGGACCAUUUCAAUAGUUGGAAUUAUGAAAAUUCUUAUUUCACUCAAGAAGGCUUCCAAGGGGGAAAUCGAUACUAUCAAGAGGAGAAAUCGAAUUCGAAAGACGAUCUCCUACAAUGCUUCAUAACUACACAAGCUUGGAUAGAAAAAAGUCUAGCAAAAUCGGAGGUUAUGCUAGAUGAGCAAAGGAGGUCUUUGGCUACCACUAUGAAAAAUCAAAAGUGAAUUGACGAUUUUUGCAUGGCCAUUAGCCUACAAAGCGGAACCUUGUAUGAGGAACCAAUGCCAAUGCUAAGUAAAGAGCCUCACGAAGUUGAAAAAGAGUAUGAAGAAAAGAGAGAUGAGAAUCAAUUUUUCAAACCCCUUGAAGCCGAGAGCCCAACUUUUCCAAUGCAACAUCUACAAUUCCAAAAAGAUGAAGACUUCACAAGCUUCAAAGAAUGCAAAGUCAUAAAUUUGGUUGAUCCUUACCUCGACACGGGCCAUUCUACGAAGGCUUGCUUCUUUCACUUAUAUUUAUCUGCAUCUUUUGAUUUGUCUAAAAAGGAAUUGUUUGAGUGUGGUGGUACUCUAGAUGGUGAACGAGAUUACCAUGACUCCCGGGAUGUCUCAAAGAUUGCUAAGCCACCAUAUAUUUUGGGUGGCAACGGAUGGAGCAUACAAAUUUGAUGAAAAAUGGCCACCGCCUAAGCCUCCACCUUCCUUGUGAGUAUGAGACAAGUAGCCAUUUUCUUCUUCUUCCAAACUUAUUUCUCCUUCGUGUGAAAUAAGUUUGGGGGAGGGUGAAGACGGGUUAUUUAUCUCAUUUAUCCGUUGUUUAUUUAUUUAGUUAUUCUAGUUUUGUUAUAAUAAUGUGAUUUUGUCUCUUUUCUUGAGCUUUUCCAUGUCUCUUGAGUUUGAGCUUGAUUGUUGAAAAACAUGAGUUGGAUGAAGUGUGUGAUGGGCUUAUGAUAAUAUUUGUUUUUGGAGAAAUUGUUGUGUUUCACCAAUCCUUGUGGGAUACGACCUUACUUCCCUUAUAUUGCAACUACAUCGUACACUUGCGGCGUAGCGAAAAUAAUUAGCGAACAAGUCUUUUGGCGCCGUUGCCGGGGAUUGGUUGAGUUUUUACUUUUGAUAUUAUGUAAAGUUGCUUUUGUUUAAUUUAUAUAUUUUUAUAUAUAUUAGUUUAUUUAUAUGUUUAUUUACUUUUGGUAGAGAAAAUUGCCGCACAACCAAAGAAGCGGCACCAAAAAAAAAAAUGGACGAUGGAAGGAAUGAGUUGGUUGAGCAACUCCAACUACAAUUGGCGUUGAUGCAACUUAAGUUGCGUGUUUUAUUAAUGAGUUGGGUUCGGUUCGGACCGGACCGGACCGGACCGACCCACUAUAUAUGUUUGGUCCGGGUCGGGUCCAAUUUAUAGAACCGAUUUUUUUUCGGAUCGAGACCCGAUCGAACCUGCCGAACCCGGACCGAUCCAUACAUUUAUAAUUAAUUAUUUAUUUUAUAUAUUUAAUAUUUAUAAUAAUAUUAAUAUUCAAAUUUCUAGUAAUCAAAAAUCUGGAAACUGAAUUUCAACUCAAAGUCAUAUUGCAUUCAAACUCAAAUUUCUAGUAGAAUAUCACAACUUAGCACCUGAAGUGCUUAACUUUGCAAUGUAGAUAUUGUAUUAUCAAUUGGAGGCAGAAUUGGUUAAUUAUUUUUGUACAUAUUGUAUUAUCAAUUUGUGUAUAUAUGAAAUUAAUGUGGGUGAAUAUGAAAUUUGUAGGUGAUAAUAUGUGUUUGUAUCGUACUCCAUCCGUCUAUGAAAAAGAGUCCCAUUUAGGGUUCGGCUCGGGUUUUAAGAAAAUUGUUAAAGUAGGUGUAAGUGAGAUAAAAGUAUAAUUUGUAGGGGUAUUAUUAGUACAAAAAAGUAGAAUAAAAGUACAUUUUUAGUUAAAAAGUGAAAAAAGUAAAAUUUAUAGUUAAAUGUAAGAGAAAAGGUAUGAUGUGAUGGUUCAAAAAGUUAAAUGAGACUAUUUUUCAUGGACAAAAAAAUGGAGUAAGUAGGACUCUUUUUCAUGGACGGAGGGAGAAAAAAAUUAGAUUAUCGACGGUUCAGACCUGGAUCUAACCGGACCCGUUGCUCGAGUUUGGUCCGGGUCUGAGUCGGUCCAGUCCCAAAAAUCGGUUCGAUUUUUUAAAAUUUUCGGUCCAACAAACCCGGCGGGUCGGUCCGAGUCUGUCCGAGUCCGACCCGUUGCACACCCCUAAUUAAUGAGACAACGAAGCACAAUUAAUUGAUAAAAUAUUUCUCAUUCAAUUAUUAGAUCAUAGGUUCAAGUAUUUAUAGGGAGAAAUAAAGAAAAAAAUUAUAUAUGGUGGAGUUAUUUUUGAACUCCAUAAUAGCUUUCCUAUUUUUGUGGGAUUUGUUUUUUGUUUGUUUUGCCUUCUUCACUUUGUGGAUAUAGGUUUUUGUAUGGAUUCAAAGGAGGUUGGAAGAUUCCUACAAACAAAGAAGUUGAAAGAGAUAUGGAAACAGAGAGAAAGUAGUGGGGAGGUCCACAAACAAGAAUGAGGGGCUGCUGAUCGUGGGGAAGCAAAUGGGAGUGGGUAAGGUUGUUCCUACAAUCAUGGAAAACCUAACAACUCUCAACAACCUAUGCAGCCACCUUCUCCUAUACCUAUCAACGACCUUCAAGGUUUGGAGAGCAAGUUAAGAAGUCUAUAAAUACUAAGGAGGAGGCUCAGUUCAGAUUACGAAGUUUGAAGAACAAAAUCGAGUCAUUUGAGUGAUCUAUGUACGAAUGUUGUUUAGAGUGUUAGGAUAACAUCGUUUAUAGCAUUCGUUGAUUUCGUCGGAUUUCGGAAUAUAGCUCUUGAAUCAGUUUUCGUUUGCUAGUGAGAGUGUCUAGUGUUCAAAUACCUAGAGUCUUGUAAAGGUAUUGAAUGUGAGUGUUCAUUUUCCAUUUAGUUAUUUUGCCAUAAGGCGUUCUUCAAAUUAUUUUAUAACUUGAAAAAAAAUAUCCAUACACUUAUGUUUUUUCUUUUUCUUUUUUCGCUGUAAUUUGUUUCUACUCUAUGACUCUGUGUGUUGUCUUAACACAAUGCUUAACAUCAAAGUUGAAGGAAAGCACUAACAAUAUAUAAAAAAUUGAUCACUGAUUAACCAAUAUCUUUUAUACAUAUUGAUCAGUCAUAGUGAUGCAAUAGUUUGAACUUUGAAGAUUUGAUGGAGCAGGUUACUGCGAUAAGUUAAAUGUCAUUUUCGAGUUGAAAAAAUGGAAAAAAAGGACUGGGACAUCUUCAACUGUUAGUGGAUAACCGAUAAAAAAUAUUAAAUACCAAUCUCCUUCAUGUGAAAAAAAUAAAUAAAACACUACACCUUUAGAAAAACAGAUAAUUGUCUUCUUCACCAAAGAUAAUAAGAAAAUACUAGUAUAAUACAAGGUGUUAUCUGCGUUCCAGAAUCCAGACUUGGAUAUGAUUAAGAAGAUAUAUUAUUUGGAGUUUUAUCAAUUUAAAAUGGAAACAUAUUUAUCUAUCAGUUCUAGACGUAAAAGAUCAAAACUAUCAAUUUACAAUUGCGCCUCUACAAAAAAAAAAAAAGGGGCACAAUUGUGAAUGAUUGAAUUAUCGAUCUAUAUAGCUUAAAAGAUAAUGCAUUUUCUUUCUUUCUUUUUUCUUUUUACUUUUCACUAUUUUCUGGUCAUAUAUACUCCAUUUGUUUUCAAUGAAACUAGUAGACGACUGAUCUACUAAAAAUUAUUUAAGAUUUGUUUACUAGGGACAUCCAAGCAUGUGAACAUUGAGAUAUUCAAACUCCAUCAUUCCUCUUCUCCAAAUCAGGAAAAAAGAAAAAAAAAAGAUUUCAUUAAGCAUUUGAUCGAUAGUUUUACUCAUUCGGGUCAUAAUUUGAUAAUUUCAUCUUCAUUUCAAAUUAAUAGCUAACACAUUUUUCAAGCAUCCACUCAAUAAAGCUCGAUUAUUAUUUAAAGGGUUAAUUGCCAUUAAAAUAUUGAAUUUUCACCAAAUUCUGAUAUUUCAUACAAAUUAUGACUUCCUAUCUAUAAAUAACCAUCAAGCAGUAUCUCAUACAUGACGCUGUACAAAAAUGACAGUUAACAUAUUCAACAAAGAAAAACAGAACUUUAAAAGGUAGCGUUGUAAUUACUAAAUUUUCAUAACAUAUUAAUUUUUCAUACAAACUUAAAAAAAAAUUAAAAUCAUAGCUUCUAUAGACAUGCAUGUUUCUCUACAAUUUGCAGAACACUAUAAAAAAAGAAGCAAAAUGAUUUUGUAUUGAAUCUCACAUCGAAAAGUGUAUGCUUUUACGAUGUACAUAAUGCACUAUAAAAAGUGAAGCUAAUAAAAGUUAGGGGUGUGCAUUCGGUUAUAUGGUUCGGUUUUUGCUAAAACCAAACCAAACCAUAUUUUAGUUCAGUUUGGAAAAAAAAAUUGAACCAAAUCGAAUUAACGUAACCAAACCGAAUUAACUAUUUUUUAAUCUAAAUCGAAUCGAACCGAAAAACCGAAUUAAUCCAAAAAAAUCGAAAAACCCGAAAGUUUUGAAAAAAAAAUGAAAAUUCCAAGAAAAACAUAUAAAAUUUAAAAAAUAUUUGAAGUUAGAUAUUAUAAAAUUAUAAUUAAAAUAUUAUAUAUAUUAUAUAUAUAUUAUAAAUAUAAUUCGAUUUUUCGGUUUUGUUCGGUUUUGAGAAAUCCGAAUAGAAAAAACAAAAUUUUAUGAAAAAUUAAACCGAACCGAACCGAACCAAAAAAAUCGAACCAUAUUUUAAAAUUUCGGUUUGGAUCGGUUCGGUUAUUCGGUCUCGAAUUUUUUGCUCACCCCUAAUAAAAGCUACAUUAAAUUGAUUUUGUAUUGAAUUUUACAUUGAAAAGUGUAAGUUUCUUUACAAUAUGUAGAACACUAUAAAUAGUGAAGCUACAUUUAAUUAAAACUUAAAUUAAAAUCUUCAAUUUUAAAUGAUUUUUAUAAAAAAAAUCAAUUAGAAAAUAGUACUCCCUCCGUCCCACUCCAAUAGUCUCAUUUUUCUUUUAGGGACGUCCCACUCCGAUAGCCUCAUUUCUAUUUUUGGUAAUAAUUUUACACUACAAACAAUGUGGUCCCUCUUUAUUCACUUUUACCCUUAAAAAGCAAAUUUCUUAAUUUCAAUGUCCAAAUAAAAUGAAACUAUUGGACCGGGACGAAGGGAGUAGUAAUUUUUUUUUUUGAUGCGUGCACACUAUGCACUUUUCUCUCUUUUAUACCUCUGCACCGAGUGCGCAUGUACGCGCUAGCGUGAGCUUGGGGAGCUCGACAAUGGAAGGGGCUCGCGCGAGUCGGCUAUGCGCCUCUGCGAGCCCCGUUGAAAAUGGUCAAUGUGGAAGAUUUGAUUUUGUGAAUAGAUAAAAGUACAAGAAUUGGUUUGUGCGAGUAAGAUAAUGUAGGAAACGCCCAUAACGUGGCAUUGAUUGCGUGCUGCUGCUGCUCUGAUCUCUUCUGUUUCACUUUUGUCCAUUUUCAAAUGGGAGAUUCUAUGGAAUAUACUCUUCCUUUCCCAUAGGAUAAUCCCACCACCCCAAAAUUUUUUGAUUUCCAUUCAAAUCAUACUCAAUCGUGUGAGAACAUGAAUACGCGCGUUUGGAAAUGAUUUAAAACUCAUUAAUAUUACUCCCUCCGUCCACGAAAUGAGUACCCAUUUGUGGACGGCACGGGUUUUAAGAAAUGUAUGGAGUGUAGUGUGAAUAGUUUAAGGGUCCCACUUUUUUAGUGUAUUAAUUAAAGAGAUGUGUGGGACACACUUGCCAAAAAGGGAAAUGGGUACUCAUUUCGUGGACGGACGAAAAGAAAAUAUGGGUACUCAUUUCGUGGACGGAGGGAGUAAUAUUUUAAGAAAAUCUAGCCUACAAUUUCGAAAAUUAAUUCCAAUUUNAAAAAAAUCAAACCAUAUUUUAAAAUUUCGGUUUGGAUCGGUUCGGUUAUUCGGUUUCGGAUUUUUUGCUCACCCCUAAUAAAGCUACAUUAAAUUGAUUUUGUAUUGAAUUUUACAUUGAAAAGUGUAAGUUUCUUUACAAUAUGUAGAACACUAUAAAUAGUGAAGCUACAUUUAAUUAAAACUUAAAUUAAAAUCUUCAAUUUUUAAAUGAUUUUUAUAAAAAAAAAUCAAUUAAAAAAUAGUACUCCCUCCGUCCCACUCCAAUAGUCUCAUUUUUCUUUUAGGGACGUCCCACUCCGAUAGCCUCAUUUCUAUUUUUGGUAAUAAUUUUACACUACAAACAAUGUGGUCUCAUACACAUCUUUAUUCACUUUUACACUUAAAAAACAAGUUUCUUAAUUUCAAUGUCCAAAUAAAAUGAAACUAUUGGACCGAGACGAAGAGAGUAGUAAUUUUUUUUUUUAUUUUUUUGAUGCGUGCACACUAUGCACUUUUCUCUCUUUUAUACCUCUGCACCGAGUGCGCAUGUACGCGCUAGCGUGAGCUUGGGGAGCUCGACAAUGGAAGGGGCUCGCGCGAGUCGGCUAUGCGCCUCUGCGAGCCCCGUUGAAAAUGGUCAAUGUGCAAGAUUUGAUUUUGUGAAUAGAUAAAAGUACAAGAAUUGGUUUGUGCGAGUAAGAUAAAGUAGGAAACGCCCAUAACGUGGCAUUGAUUGCGUGCUGCUGCUGCUCUGAUCUCUUCUGUUUCACUUUUGUCCAUUUUCAAAUGGGAGAUUCUAUGGAAUAUACGCUUCCUUUCCCAGAGGAUAAUCCCACCACCCCCAAAAAAAUUUGAUUUCCAUUCAAAUCAUACUCAAUCGUGUGAGAACAUGAAUACGCGCGUUUGGAAAUGAUUUAAAACUCAUUAAUAUUAAUAUUAAAUCUACUGUGUUAUUUGGAAAUGGAACAAAUUUGUACAUUAGUUCGCAGUUCUACGUAUUUAAUUUAAACUCUUUUUUAAUUAUUUAUAUUUUGAUUUGGUAUAUUCAUUCCUCUAGAUCAUUUCCUAAUAAAUUAAAACAUUUAAUAUCAGAAACCUCGUACUAAUAGUUCGCAGUUCAACGUAUUUAAUUUGAACUCCUUUUAAAUUAUUUACAUUUUGAUUUGGUAUAUUCAUUCCUAUAUAUCAUUUUCUAAUAAAUUAAAACAGUUAAAUAUUAGAAACCUCGUACUAUUACAGAAAAUAUUAAUGGCGUUCAUAUCAAAACCUCUUCUUUGUACAAUCGUUUUUUAAUGCAUGCUUGUACAAUCAUAUUAGAUCGUGCUACAUAGUUUUGAUGGAGAAUAUGUACAUAUGGAUAAGGAUAGGAAUGAAUCAAAUACCAUGUAAAAUUAACAAAAUUAAAGAAAGUCUAUUUUCAUAUAAUAUUAUCCACCACACCCAAUCUCAGUCGUACUUAACAAUGAUGAGCUUAUGAAAUAAGUAUAUUUUAAAAAAAAGGUUCUCUUAGUGUUCCACGAUAUUUUUAUUUUAAAGUUAAUCAAUUAUUGAUUAAUUUAUAUAUAAAUUAUAUUUUUAAUAUUUUUAAUAGUAUUUUUUAAAUAUUGAGUUGUUUUUGUUUUAAAUUGUGAUUGUGUAUUAAAAUAUCCGGAGCCGAACUAAAAGUAUUUAACAUUAUCCAGACCCCACCCCCACCCCCAACCUCCAAAACUUUGCCUUUAUAUAGAAGGAAUGCGAGUGUAGUCAAAUAAACCCAUAAUCACCAUGACUUCAUCAAGUUCUAGUCUCCCUCAUUCUUCCCCGCUCCCACUAUCCCAACAGCUUCAACUCAUCAAGGAACUCCAAAUCUUCAAAAUCCAAGGCUCCGACAGGCGCGGCCGCCCCCUUCUCCGCAUCAUCGGCAAAUUCUUCCCUGGUAAUUUCUCAUGUCCAAACUUUCUUCUUCAAUUUAACCUUUUUAACUACUACUAUUCUCUGAUGGAAAUGAUGUGCAACAGCGAGGCUUGUGAGCGUAGAGGCAGUGAAGAAGUUUCUAGAAGAUGAGAUCUUCCCGGAUCUGGAGGGCCGGGCGUUCUCGGCGGUGUACGUGCACACGGAGGUGAACAGGGGCGACAACUUCCCCGGGAUAUCGGCGUUGAAGAGCAUAUACGACGCCGUUCCGGCCAAGCUCAGGGACAAUCUCGACGCCUUCUAUUUCCUUCAUCCGGGCAUCCAGUCCCGCCUCUUCCUCGCCACCUUCGGCCGUCUCCUCUUCGGCGGCGCCGGCUACGCCAAGGUCAAGUAUGUUGCUAGAUUGGAGUUUCUGUGGGAGCACGUGCGCCGGAAGGGGGCGGAGAUGCCGGAGUUCGUGCACGAUUUUGACGAUGAGAUGGAGUGGCGCCCCACCACCGUCGAUUACGGCCUCGAGAGCGAUCAUCCUGCUAUAAUGCCUACCUUUGAUUCUACGGUUUCUACCUAUUCUAUGAGGUGUAUUGCCUAGAUUUCUACACUUUUUUUCUGUUUUUUUGGUUU
rnacentral:lncRNA from 1 species